GAGAAAUAGCUGAUGUGAUUUGGGAGGUGAGUUGCAAUUAUCCAAGAGGUGAUUUGGGAGGUGAAUUGAGUGUUUUAAAUUUAGAAUAACAUGGAGAGCUCAAUAGAGCUUGUGAGAGUUAAUUUAGAAAGUUGAUAUAGGAAGCUUUAGAGAGCUCAGGGAAUAGCUAUAGUGAAUGCAAGGAUAGCUUCAGAGAGCUAAUCUGCGAAUCUCAGAAGACUCAUGGUAUAAUUAAGUAAGUUUAUAUAUCAAAUGCAACUUGGGUAUCAAAACUAUCACAAUAAGAAUAAAAUAAGCAUAAACAAUAAAGAAUGCACAACAUUUUAUGUAGUUCAGCUUUUUGGCCUACAUCCAUUGAAGUAUUCAUCUCCAAUCCACAAUGUAUCUGAAUUAUUACAUGAUCUGCUUCAUGGCGUCAAUAAAACUUUAUUGAGGUUGUUUUUAGUGAAUAAUAACUUGAAGGAGAUGUGAGUAUUAUGGAAAUUAGAGAGUUUUCUAAGAGAAGAAUAGUUGAGGAGCUUAUUUGAGAGGUAAUGUGGUCAAGAUUUUCAAUGGAGUGUAAAAAUGGAAAGAGAAGAAGAUGAAGCAACCUCUCAAGAAAUCAAAUUUGCAAAAAAAAAGGGGGGGGGGGGCUUGGGUUAGAUGGAGCAAAAAGAGAGAGAUAUAGCUAGAGAGAGAGAGCUAGAGAUCCCUUUUAAAAUUGAAUUAUGGAGCUUAUAUAGGAGUGUUCCUGAGGGUAUUUUGGUACUUUUGGACAACUAGCGAAUUUUCAUUGGUUUGUCCUCCAUAAAUAAGGUUAUUUUAGCAUUUUUGCUUUAGUGAUCUCUUGAUGGUGAUAUCAAUGAGCUUGGGAGUAAAGAAACCUCCAGCCACUUUUUUGCCUCCACAGCUGGGCACAUGGUAGUCUCUCGGCCUUGUGAUCCUAUUGCUUUACUGGUGAUAUCAAAAGGACAGCUAAUGUGGCCUUUCCUCAUUGAUUGUAGAAUCUCUAUUUUUUUUAGCUCCUCGUCUUUAGCCAAAAUAAGAUAUUUAUGUCUCUCUCAUGAUUCUGUGCACUGUUCUUGUGUUGGCCUUAAUCAUCAAAAUCUAUCUUUCAAUAACACCGUUUGAUGUUGAGUAUUUUGCUAAAACUGUCCUUUCUUUUAGGAGCUUAUCUCCUAGUUUCUUGUGAGCUAAUCUAGUCAAACAAAGUGGCUUCUCUUUUUUGACUUUUCUUGCCCUGUGUCAUUGAGUUACUGGCCACGUUGGCACCCAAAUUUUCCCCAAAACAAAGAAUAAGUUAGCAUAGGCUUACCCUAUUGAAAUGAUCUUUUAGAGAACCAUUUGAUUGAGGACUUGGACAUUUGUUUACGAUGGCGCCGUGUCUUUUUGUCAGUGGAGAUACAAUUGUUUUAAAGCAGCCUGUAGAUUAAUAUAAUGGUCCGGAAAAUAUUAAAAGAAAUUCAAGCAUGGAAAUGAAGAAGACUCAAUGCAUUUUGGGAAACAAGAACUUACGAGGCUGUUGCAAAGAAUUGAAGUUUGGAGAGAAGUUUAAACUCUGCAUUUGAAGCAUGGUCAAUAUUUUGCUCUUUUUCUUCCCCUGCUAACUCUGAAAAUUUUGUUUUGUUCAUUAGUGAUAGAAUCCGGAAGAGAUUGAGGAAAGCUACGCAAUUAAUACGCACUUGCAAGACAGUUGACUAUGUAAACUAAUUACAGCCGUUUAUAUAUAGAAGUGAAAAUGUAAAGGCAUUAUAAAUACUUUUUUCAAAACCAAAGUUGGUUGGUGUGAGUGGUUCGGCACUCUCAUUCCUUAAGAGAGGUCAGGGGUUCAAGCCCCGCUCUCGUAUGGAGUCACCACUUUGGCCAACACUUUACUCCUUACGGGCCGACCCGGUGUGACCAGGAAUUAGUCUAGAUUGUGAUACGGGCUUAAAGGUGUCUCCCACAGUUGAGGCCCACUCAGGACCACCUUAUGAUUCAGACAAAAAAAAAAUAUUUUUUCUGAAAAAUGAUUUGGCACACUCUAUUUGCAUUAUAAUCUGGGUCAAUUGAGAAUCCAGAUACAUACAUUGUGCAACUCAAAAGUCUAUUGAUCAUAGUUCUGGAAUCUACUCUCAUUAAUAAUAUAAAAAGAAAUCUAUUCAUUUUCUAAAUUUUUUUAUGGAAAGAGGAAAGACCUUCCAUGGUACUCCAAUUCCAGUGGUAGCGUCAUGAAUAGUUUAUUGAAUUAGAGUUUUUUUGCUUACUUUCUUUUACCAUUUAUUAAGCCAAAUUAUCAUUCCAAUCUAACAAAGAUCAGUGGAUCUCUAAUGGAAACACAACCAAAUCAAUAGAACGUAGAUCAGAAAUCAGAGAAAGCAAAACUCACAAGAUUAUUAUUGUUUUUUUUUUAUGGCCACGGUGGUGGUGGCUAGGGUGUCCAAUUUUGGAUUUUCUACACUUUUCUUUUCUUUAUAAAUGGUGAUGGAGGAUUUGGAUGAUUAAUUUGUGGUGAAUAGAUAUGAUGGCCAGAAAAGCUGUGCGACUCACAUUAAUCUUCUCUUAUACCAAUUGGACAUGGUGGGGUAGCCGAAGCGGAUUGAGAUGGUAGAUAAGCAUUAUUAGUCCAAGCCAACAGAGUUAGAUUGCGCUCUAACAACAGCGUGAUUAGAUCUCGUUCUAAUACAAAUGGUUCAAUAAGAUUUUAAUAACACUUUUAUAGCGAGAUCAGAUGACGUUCUAAUCCAAAUGACUCUACAAGAAUGAUUUUCCUAAAUAAUCCGAAAGAGAAUUAUAAAAGAUGUGUUUCUAUUAAAUAAUUCAAUUUAAUUAACAAAGACGCAACUUUUUGAUUUAUAAUAAGGUGAACCUACAAGGUAAGAAGUUUUCAAGCAUAGAAAGCAGACUAGAAGCUCUUUCUCUUCCUCAACCUCGACCCCCUUACAAUUUUCUUAUUUCGCAAAUCAAAGCACCUGAACUUAGGAGUCAUAAAGCACUAUCCCAAGGAGCUUUCACAGCCUAAUCACAUCAAUGAACCAAAUUUUGGUAUCAACGGUAAGAUAAAAAUAAUAAAUAAGAUAACAUAUAAAUAGAAAUAAAUCUUUUUGUUUUCAUUAGUAAAUCUUCACUCGUUCCGUCGAGAUUACUUAAAAAUUAAUAAUUAAAGCUACGAGAUAAAAUAUUAUCUGAAGGUGCCAUAUUAAGGCAUAUAUUACAAUUUUAAAAAUUGGGUACUUUUCAUUACAGCUCACUUUAUUGCAAAUAAAUUGAAAAAAAAAACUUAAUUAACUCAUUAAACUGAUGGCUAGUUGAAAAUACAACAUCUUAACACAACAAUUAUUGUAAGCAGGAAACGAAGAUUCCAAAAACAAUGCAACCUUCUUAAUUUCUUUGGUUCUUAUCGUAGAAAAUGGAUAAGGAUGUAUUCAACAAAAGUUAACUGCAAAUAAACAACAUAUUUGUGUCAGAAGUUAAAUCACUAAUUAAAGAAGUAAUUAAGUAAUGGAAAUUGAUUAGUUGAUUUAACUCAGUAAUCACAAGUAAAAGAGAGUAAUCAAUCACUUGCCUUCCAAAUUAACAUGUAAAAACCAAAUGUUGAUUCAAAAUUGUCGAGAUCAACUUUUUUAGAUUGAAUCCACAAAAUCAAAGCAAGUAUGCUGUGGCCAAUUAUCUGCAAGAAAUUAAACGAACAAUCAUUAAUAAUAAUUUUUAAGUGACCAAGAUCAUCAACACAUUCAUGAAAAAUAUACAGGGCUAAAUUUCUUACGGUGACAAGCUUGUUUAUCAUGAAAGACGAGGAAGCCCCAGCUAUAAGAGCACAUCCGUAGCCCACUAACAUCGUAUUGACGCAAAGUGGAAACACCUUUUCAGAGAAAAGAAAAAAAAAUUGUAAGCCAAUCAUUACUUUACUAUGAUUUAUUUAUUUAAUUCUCUUUGAAGUAAUGGGAAUUAAUUAAAUAUUAUAUAAUAAUUAUGAUAUACCAACUUUUUCUUUUCCUAAAAGGACACACAGCGUAUUCAUGCCAAAUUUUUUAUCGCCUUCCACGUCUGGCAAAUCCUAUUAACAUAAUCACAUAAAAAGGUAAAAUAGUAAUCAUUUAUUUUCUAUUUAUCAGGAUUGAUAAACUUAUAAAAUUGGAAUAUUAAGUUAAAAUUAUUACCUUCAGAAGUCCGUUUACGAAUGCGAAGAUGGACAUGAUAGCCCCCAUUAAAAUUAACGGUCUUGUAAUUACGAAAGGUCUACCAAGCACAUAUUGCUGUAUAUAUGAAUCAAAAUUAAACUACUUCACAAAAAUUACAAAAAUGGAAAGAGAAAGACAAAAUUAUGACAUGGAAUCUAAUUGAUAAUCAUUUGCAAGAUGAAUCGAUUGUAUAUAUACCUGCGUGUGCAUGUAAAAAGGUAAUCCUGUCAAUCCCAUCGUAAUCACGAGACAGAGUGGAGCCAUAAAUGUAUGUGACUUCCAUCUAAGAAAGGGAAGCUGCAAUCAGGAUUAAAAAUAAUCAAUUAAACUAUUAAUUUAGAUUGGGUUAAUAUUAUGUUUUGUAAAUUAUUUUUCUUUAAUUAAAGGUAGCAGAUCGAUAAAAUUUAAAUUAAUUUUUUACUCUAAUAUUCGAAAUCAAGUAAAUAGUAAAAAGACCGCUUGAAAAUUUCUCUACCAAACCCUUGGGGCAAUAUAAUGUUUAUUAAAUUGCGUUACAGCAGCAUGCAACUGGGGCACUUACUGGCAGGGAAUAAGCGCAUCCACAUAGGAAAAACAAGAUUUGGUUCAAGAGAAGUGGUGGGGAUCCCGACAUAAUUGCCAAAGUGUAACUCUGAAAAAUUGGGAUCAAUUAAUGAAUUAAAAAUGUUACAAAUUAAAUAGACUUAAGUCUAUUUAUUAGAGGAUGCGGGUACUUGCUUACCAAGAUUGCGCUUCCUAUACAAAUCGCAAUUACAGUUCCCAUUGAUAAGUCGCCGGAAGCAAGCGGGAGAUACGGCUUGUUAAUCUUUAACAACAUUAAGUUUAUUUAUUAGCAAAAACAAACAAACAAACAAAUAGACAAAGAAUAUGAAGCGUCAAAGGAGCAUAUAUAUAAUAUCUCAACAUAUACAUAUAUGGAGUCAUGGUCAGAUAGGAUUGUUCGGAUUUUAUAAAAUUCGAAUUUAAACUAGAAUCAAACAAUAUAUGCAACUCUAGUUUUAGUUUAAAUUUAGAAAAUCCAGACGUCAGGACCUGAGCAUCAUUCUUAUAUAUAUAUGUGUGUACAUACCUUGUCUAUUUCAACAUCACAUAUCUGGUUUAAGGCCGUCAGAAAAGUGUUCAUCAGUAAUGUGGGGACUAUGACCUGAAAUAUAUAUCAAGACGAAUCAAUGUUAUUCAAACUAUCAUUUCCCAAUACGUAGUUGUAACUUUUAUUAAUUCUCUCUCAGCGCUUAAGAAAUAAUAUUUACCUUCGAUAUUUCAAUGAAAAAUCUUGGAGUCAAAUCAGCAAGACUUUGUACUGGAAGUAAAGAAACUGAUACAAUCCCAAAAACCUGCAAAAACAAAACUUGGAUCUCAUUUCUGUGAAUCUAGAAAGGAUUAAAAGAAAAAAGAAAAUGAAAAAAAACUUCAUAUCAUUAUUUGUUCUGUAUAAGAAGCAACUCACAAUGUUAACCCAAGUGUAUGAACGAACUAGAUGGUUGAUUGCAAUGAGCUUCUUCUUGAAAACUUCGAAAAAGCUUGGAGCUGCAGCUGCUGUGUUAUCAUCCUCGGAUUGUAAUGCAUUACCAUCUUGCAACGCCAAAGGAACAAGCUGUUUGUUCAAUGGUUUCUGACGAUCUCUAUUGCUAAUUAUACCCUCAUUAUUGAGUGCAAUUUUGUUUUGAUUUGGUAAAUGAAAUGAUCUUUGGGAGGAGCAUUUGAUUGAUGGGGACUUGUUGCUCGGACUUGUAUUUGAGAUGGCGCCGUGUCUUUGCGUCAAUGGCGAUGCAACUGUUUUAAGGCAACCUGAAGAUGAUUAAUGUUAAAAAAAUUUACUAAAGAAGAAGACCAGUAAUGGCAUUUGGGGUCACAAAGAGACUCACCAGGCUUUUGCAAAGGAUUAAAUUUUGGAGAGAAGUUUAGACGCUGCAGUUGAAGCAUGAUUGACUUUGUUCUGUUUCUUCCCCCAAGGUCCGACUUUAAAUUUGCUCUGGUUUUUUGGAUGGGAAGUCUCUGAAAAAUACCAAUAUAUAACGCUCCACCGCCGGACUAGGUAUGGACCCCAUAUAAUCUUAAAAUAAUUCUCGGCAGCCACGUUUGACUCAAUUAUUAUAUUUCAGGAAAAAAUUUGUUUAGUCCCUAUAUCAUGAGGUUAGCACCUAUUUAAUUUUUAUAUUUUUUAAAAUAGCUCAAAAUGUUCUUAUUUUUAAAUAUAGACCCUCGUGCUAUUAUUAUUAUUAUUUUUUAGCUUGUUUUUACAAUAUUAUACUUUACAGUAAUGUUUUUUUUUGUAUAUUAAUAAAAAAUUAAACUAUCAAAUUAAACCCAAAAAUAAAAUAAAACAAAAAAGAUAUAUAUUAAUUUUUGUUGAAGCUCAUGUAUGUCUAAAAAAAUUAAAAUUGUAAAAUAUUAAAUUAUCAAUUUUUUUAGAAAAUUAAUAUUUUACCUCCUCAGCAGAGUAUUCUACAAAAAUUAAUGUAUUUUUUAUUUUAUUUUUUGGUGUUAAACUAGUAAUUUAAUUUUUCUCUUUUUAAUGAUGUCUAAAAAAAGAAAUAUUAUUGUAAUAGAGUAAUAUUAUAAAAAUAAGUUAAAAAAACAAAAAAAAAUAGUAAUAGUAUCAAUAAUUUAAUAGUAGGGAUACUUUAAAUUAUUUUUAAAAAUAUAAAAAUUAAACGAAUACAAACUUAAAAAAUAGGAAUUAAACAAAAUUUUACACUUCUAUUCCCUAAAAUAAAGUGCGUCAGAUUCUGAAUCUGUAUAUGAUUGACUUGAAAUAGCUAAUCAUGUUCGUUUUGGGCUUUACAUUAUCUUUGAUGGUUACAGACAAUGAAAUGACGCCAUCACUAUUGUCAGUACUCAAUGGUCACUGCACGUCAAAUUCCAUUCACUCCGCAAUUAAUGCUGCGUUUAUUUUUUGGAUUGGAGUGGAAAUUUUGAGGAGCUGCGUUUAUUUUUUGGAUUGGAGUGGGAAUCUUGAGAAGUGGGAAUCCUUGGAUUAGGAGUGUGGAGUGGGAGUGGGAGUAAGGUGUUUACUUAGACUAAAUGAAAGUAUAGAUUGUCAAUUAGAAUCCCAAUUAUUUGUUUACUUUGUCUUGGAUUGGAAGUAAAUUGUUUUAAAUUAUAAUUUUAUCCUUAUGUACAGAAUUAUAAUUUGUAAUUAAAAAAUUAAUAAAAAAUAUAUUUGAAAAAUAAAAUAAAUAUUUUAUUAAAAAAAAAAAGCUGCUGUACCGUACAUCCGCCUUGGCCGUACAGCAGUUUUAUUUUAUUAAAUUUAAUAAAAUAAAUAUGAUAUAAUUAUUAUUUUUAAUAAAUAUGAUAUUAUUUAUUUUAUUAAAUAUUAUUUAUUUUAUUAAAUAUUAUUUAUUUUAUUAAAUAUUAUUUAUUUAUUUUAAUUUUAUAAGGAUAAAAUGGGAAGAGGGGGAGUGGAUUCCCACUCCCACCUCCCCCAAUGGGAGUGAGAAUCACACUCCCCACUCCAAAUUUGAGUGGGACCCACAAAUUCCCAUUCCCACUCUCCCUAUUUUUAAGGUAAGUAAACACUGGAGUAGGAGGAAUCCACACUCCACACUCCCACUUCAAAAAAUAAACACUACCUAAAUCUAGGAUCUUACAAUUUUAGGCAACUCCUUAAAUCUAGCAAUAGUUGGCAGCCAUGUGUCCUGAGGAGAGAGAAAAGGCAACUCCUUAAAUCUAGCAACUUUAGUUGGAAAGACGGUUGUACAUUUAUUAUACCCUUUGAAUUGACUUUUAAGAUUGCCAGAACAAUCACUAAAAAAAAAUGUUUAGGAUGAUUUUUUUUAAAUCAAUCUUUAAAUCAAAUAAAAAAACUAAAUUUUUAAUUUUUGUUGGAGUAAUUAAGUUAUUUCCUUGAAAUAGGCUUUUUUUAUAUUUCUUUUACAGUUUUAAACAUUUUGGAUAAAUUAUGUGAUCCUUAAAAUAUGAGAUUACAAAUUCAAUUUUUUUUUAAAAAUAAAAUAUUCUAGAAAUAUUUUUUUCUUUUUUAAUUUCUCAAAAAAUUCUCUUUAAGACAUGUCAAUAGUAGUUUUUUUAGACACCGAUUUAUAAAUUACCAUAAAAAACAUGGUUAUAUUUAUUAAAAAAUAAUGGGAUACACUAUUUAUUUUACAUGUCAUUUGGGAAACACAAUAUCAUCAAAAGUAAUGUUGUCUUUAUACAUUAAAAAAAUUAUGUAAGGCAAUACAAUUAUUCAUUGGUCAAAUAUCCAAACUUUUGAAGUUAGUGUGCAUGUGUAUGUAUAUUUGUACAUGUGUGUGUGUAACCAAAUGAGUGCUAAGUGAUCACUUACGAAGCAUGAAAGGGAGAAGAUUGCCUCUACUUAAUUAUAUAUCAUAAUUAAGGAAGAAAAUAAACCUCUACAUGCGUCACUGGGGUUCAAACCGAUGCCCUCACAAUUGUAAGUGCAAGGUCCUCAGGUAUGCCGGAAAUUAAUCCUUUUAUGAAGUUUCCCACCACUGUUUUUUUUUUUUUUCCAACUAAUUUCUAUCCGUUUGGAUUUUGGCAAACAAAUCCAACAAUUCAGCAAACAAAUCUAACGAAUAGUAGUGUGCCACCGCGAAGUCAAGUAACCGACUGACUCACUCGCAUGUCCUCAAAGGUCCAUUGCUUGAGUUUUUACAAACCUAAAAGUAAGUUUUACUCCAUUCAACAAGAAAGUAUUUGAUUAUAUUUAGUUACCCUCCAUUGUCAACUUAAAUUACACGUAAAUGCCAACUGAAUUUUCGCUUGCGUUUAUUUUUUUAUCUAAAAUUUGAAUGAAUAUAAAUUUUUUAAAGUCUUUAAAUAAAAAUGUUGGAAUGAAAUAUUUAUUUUUUUAAUAUCUGAAUGUAAGUGAGAUUUUAUUUUUUAAAUAAAAAAUAUCUUGAACAUAAUUAGCCGUUGUAAAUCAAAACAAAAAAAAUUAGACUUUAUAGUUUAAGAAAUAAGUAUAUUUAAUAAAGAUAUUUCUUAAAAUUAGACAUAAGUUACAAAAAUAAAUAAAUAAUUUAAAAUAUAUAUAUAAUAUUAAUAGAAUUUUAAAUUUUAGAUAUUUAACAAAUAAGCCCUUAAUUUACUCCUUAUUUACUGACGCAAGAUGAUAAUAUCAAAUUAAAAUAUUCAUCUAGUUGGCUGAAUAAUCUAUUCUACUCAUGAAAAAGCUAAAUAAAGUAAAGAAGCACGGGGCAUUUUAAGUGUAAUUAAGUAUGACAGCAAUGGGUAAAUAUCAUCGAAUAUAUUUAUUUUGGGGAUUGAGACAAAAGUUAUUUUUGAAAUUUAUAAGAAAUUUAAGUAGUGGACUCGUGUCCAUAUGAGGACACGCGACUGAGCAGUCGCUGCACUCCUUAUGGAUUGCCACUUGCUAGCCAUCAUGCACAUGAUCUUAUGCAUGAUUGCUAAUAAAAUUUCAAACUUUAAAUAUUUAACAAAUCACCUCUCACCAUUAUCAGCCCUCUUCCACUCUUUUUCAUAUUUUUUAAAAUCUAAAAUAUUCCCUACACCAUGGUUAAGUGAGGUACCCUGAUCCCAAAAAAAUAUAAACUUAUUGUUUUGGUGAGGUUUUUAUUCAUAUCCUUUAGAACUUGACACGACUUAAAAGUGUUUGAUUUACUCUCAAGUAUAAAAGUACCUAAUUAUAAUAUAUCUCGGUGAGUCCGAGAUCGAUCCACAGAGAAAAGAUUUAAUUUGUUUAUUUUAUUUUAGGGGAAUAUCCACCGUCCACCCGUUUUUUCCAACUUUUUCAAAAAUACCUAAUUAUAAUAUAUCUCGGUGAGUCCGAGAUCGAUCCACAGAGAAAAGAUUUAAUUUGUUUAUUUUAUUUUAGGGGAAUAUCCACCGUCCACCCGUUUUUUCCAACUUUUUCAAAAAUACACAAUUCUUUUUUUUUUUUAACUGGAAUCCACUUAAAUUUACAUUUUGUUUCACUUUUUCACUUCCGUUUGGAAUCCGUUAAGAAAACUAACGGAAACUUAAAAAAAUAACCAUUUUACCCCCAAAACGAAAAUUACAAUUUCACCUUAAAAAAUACUAAAAAUAAUCAGAUUUAAUGAUAAUUUUACUUUCUUUAUUAACCGAUGGGGAAAAUAUUUAGAUUUAAUUUGAUUAUUUUUGGCAAUUUUUAGGGUCAAAUUGUUAUUUUUGUUUUGGGGGGAAAAAUGGUCAUUUUUUUAAGUUUCUGUUAGUUUUCUUAACGGAUUCCAAACGGAAGUGGAAAAGUAAAAUAAAAUGUAACUUUAGGUGGAUUUCAGCAAAAAAAAAAAAGAAUUAUGUUCAGCCAAAAAAAAAAAGAAUUGUGUAUUUUUUGAAAAAGUUGGAAAAAACGGAUGGACGGUGGAUAUUUUUCCUUUAUUUUAUCUAAAAUUUGAAAAUAAAACUUAAAUAUAAACAACUUAAUUUAACUAUGUGAAUUCACUCUUAGUAGUAAAUAAAACUUAAUAAAUUCUUUUUGCCAUUUUUUUAGAUUUACUGCCCAAAAGAUUAAUUAUAUAAAUUAUUAUUAUUUUCCCUUUAAUUUUAUGAUGGAUUAAGUAUUCAUUGUGCCAAAAUUUAAUUUGUCUACAAUAUGUCAAAAUACCAUUUUACUAUACCUUAUAUUAAGAUAAAAAGAAUUUAUUGUGCCAAACUCUCUUGUUUGUGUACAAUAAAUCAAAAUUUUAUAAUAUAAAAUAUGUAUAAAAUUAAAUAGAAAAUAAUUUAGCUAGAGGUGUGUUCACCCCCUCUCUAUUUAUACUAUUACAUGGUAAAUCCACACCACACAAAUAAAAAAAUCUAAUUACAUCUUAACCUUACAUUUGUCCCACUAAUAAUCUCACUAAUAAAACAUAAACCUAACUUAUCUCAAGCAUAUCCAACACAUUCCAUUAACAAUUACCAUACCUAAUAUGAUAAAAAUUUAUAAUUUUAUAAUUACCACAUUUACCAUGGUAAAAACAUAAAAAAUUACAACAAAAGUCUUGGAUCCUCCUCGACAAUGACAUAAUUUCUCGGACUUCCGGAAUCCAAAUUUGACAUUCAUGCAUUUGUUCGGACUGAUUCACAAUAUGUUACACAAUUACAAAUAUAAAUUACAUUAAUAGCACAAAAUAACAUUUUUAUCCCUUAAUAAACAUAUAAUUUUUAACACUAAUCAGAACUCAAAAUCCACUUAAAACAAUUAGCGUCGUCUAUGUGGGGAGCGUAUAAAAAGCCUCCACAGUGGUUACUAGAUUGAUCGCGGUGUGUACUUAUAAAUUGUGGCACCUGACGUGCCCUCUUAUGUCGUGAUGACAUAUUUUGCACAAGUGAGAGAUGACAGCAGUGUGGAGGUCAACAAUCUAGCAAGAAGAACAACUUAGUCCAAUAAGGGCAAGUCCGUCAAAUAAUUUAUUGGUGUUUGCUCCAAUAAGGAGCUCGUUUCUUAAUGACGCUUUGAAGAACUUGCUCAUGCCAUUCUUCGGGCCGUAGGCUCUCAAAUACAUGAACCAGUAGAUCCUCCCACUACUUGAGACAUUCUAUUAACAUGGGUAGAAAAGCGAAUUGUCCCACACUUUGAAGUGCCCGAAUUGAAGGCAACGAAAUAAGGUAUGAUCCGCCAGGUACCCGACUUAAGUCACAACCCACAUCCCCUAGGGAGGAGCCUUAUACAGCCUCUAGCUACUUGCGAGCUUCUUAAAUGGGAGUGGUAUCUCAAGGUGCACCUAGGAUACCCCGUAAGUUCUUAAAAAAAAUAAAACACCUGGAAUCUCAAGUAAAGCUACUUUCUCAAAAGUAAAAUGCCGUAAAUACUCUAAUGCCAGUAGGGUACAACUCGCUAUUUACUAUGGAGAUUCAGACAACAAUUCUCCCAGAUAAUUACGCCAUGCUCAGGCACCCCAGUAUUUGGGUACCUCAGAUCCGAAAGAACACAUCAGACUGUAUCGUGAUUAAAUGCUUAUUAAGGGUGUCGACGACAAGGCUAUGUGUCAGAUGUUUCCUUACACACUUACCGGACUCACUAAAUCUUAGUUAAAUCUUUAAAGGUAGGUUAUUCUCCCUAGACCAGCUCCUUACGGAGUUCAUUCAUGAAUUUAGUUAUGUUGCCUCCCAUGAUCAAGCGGCAUUCAGGCUUGCCUUCUUUUAAGUAAGGGGAAUAUGAGCUUUUGCUGAUUAUGUAGCCCGUUUCCACCAAGAAGUAUUGUGGACAAGCAUGUAUGGUCAUCAACACACACUAAAACACUUUGAAAAAAAUAUGCAGUUAAGAAUGUUGUGGCAUUCCUUUCAAAAGUGUUGCUCUCUCUCAUAUGGGGAAGCCCUUCUUGAGCCUUGCAGCAAAUCGAGAUGGAUUAGAAGUGACACCUGAAAUGGCAAGAAGACAAAGCAGAGGAUAUGAAAAACAGGAAAAAACCUAAGAAGCCUGAAGUACCCUAAGAUAAGAUGCCCCGCCUACCACCACUUGUCAGAUCAUCUUAAUCAGACUGACAGAACCUUUAGAAAAAUCUUAGUAUGAAUCUCGUCAUGCUUUGAACUACUCUCUAAAACAGAUCUUCUACCAGAUUUGAGAUAGCGCCCUACUUCACCCACCCAGGCCCAUGCGCAUGUACCUUAACAUGAAGCGUAGCCUGAAGUAUUGCGAGUUUCAUGAGGAUUUCGGACAUAGCACGGCUGAGUGCUUCAGUUUGUGUGAGGAAAUCAAAUCUCUAAUUCUCAGUGGGCACCUCAAGGUGUUCGUCACAAAUAUGAGGCAAGCCUGGAAGUCUAUGGAGUAAGAUAAGGGCAACCAUGUACCUCAUACCAACCCUAAAUGUGAGGCACCCAAGGAUCCAAGAAAGAAGUUUAUGUUUGAAUGGUUGCACGCGAACCCACUUUAGCCGGCCAGUCCAAAAAGCCAUAAAAAUUAUAAUAGAUUUCCAUUGCCAAUUGUUAUCAUUGGCCAAGGAAUCCAUUUCAAUGACCAUGAGGUACCUCUCCAUCCCAUCUCAAUUUUUUUUAUAGAAAAAGAUGUUGAAGAUAUCUCGUACCCCAUGGUGACGCUUUGGUCAUCACUGUUAACAUGAAUAUAUCUAUAAUGAUGAUUUUGAUGAUAACAAACAAGAAAAAAAAAUGAUUAUGUUUUAAAAGCUCAAAUUAUUUUUCAUACUUUUUUAAAUAAAUCACUAUUUUGAUAAAGUAAAGGUUUUAUACUCAAAUGGAAAAUGAUUUGAUGAAAUUAGUUGUUUUUCAAGUUCAUGAUCUAAUUGAAUAGUUUUGAAAACUUUGAAAUUAACAAAUAAUUGCUUAAAAUUUUUAUAAAGUUUUAGGACAAAAUUAUAAUUUUGGAAAACAGCUCACCGUAGUGGUCACUGUAGCAAAUGGCUAACCGACAUCUUGAUAACGGCUAGCCGACAUCAAACAGAAUUGAAGAUUAGCCUCUGGACACUAACGGUGAUAUAGCUUAAUAACAGCUAACUGACUGAUAACUCUAUGAAAUAAGAGUUAUCAUGACACUUUUAUACUUAAAUCAAUAAUACUUAGAGAGUAAAUAAUGUGUUUUCAUUGCAUUUUUAUUAUAUUUUGUAUAAACAUUCAUCUUAGUUUAUUUGUAAUAAAUUUUGUUUGAUUUAGAAUAAUUUGUGUGUUAAAUCAUAUGCAUAAUUGUAAGUGUCCGGAAGCCCAAAUUUCAAGGAAGGAAUGUUUAUGCAAUAGGCUUGCAAAAGAUGGAAAAGAUUUUAGCUACAAAAGAAUUGAAACAAAUCUGGAACAAUGCAGUUGCUGUAGCAAUCCUAGAACAACGAUAAAGAAAAUUCCGUGCGGGAUACUUGCAGAAUUGUGAUCUGCAGUUUCCUAAUCUGACUUAUGCAUACCCUAAGCUUCCGUGUACCAUAAUUUUCAGCUAUAAAAGAAGCACACAUCAUAAGGAAUAAGAGGGGCUAUCACCCAAGGAGAAAAACCACAAAGAAACAAAAGAAAAAGAAGAUUCAAGAGAGAGAUUAAGGGCUACACAAGAGGAGAAAUUGCAGAGAUCAAUUGGGAGCUCAGUCCUUCUUAUUCUUCUCUUGUUUUCUUGUUUGCUAUUUAUUCAUGGGGAUGUGUUUCAUGGUCGAAACCUUGUUCUUUAUUUUUCUUUUGCAAAUCAUGAACUAAAUUUAUUUGUAGUUGAGUGAUAAACAAUCUUGAUGGUUUAUUGACUGAAAAUAUGAGUUGCUGUAUGUUUGUUGUAGCAUUUUAUUUUGAUAGAAUUUAUUUUUAUUCAUUAUUUCGGUUGAUCACCAAUUUAAUGAUAUUAGCUAAGGAAGAGCCACAAAAUGGUCUAUCUUAGUGGAACCUAUCAAAGCAAUACUUGAUAUUAAAUUGGAUUUCUUGGAUUGAGUUUUACUUGAGUCCCAAAAAGGUCAUGCUUGAUUUAAGAUUAGUGAUGAACUAGACAUAAGGAUUCACCUUGUAGGGUAAAUGGAACCUAAGCGUGUAAUGUUAUAUCUUAUGUUGACAUCACAACUGAUCAAUAUUAGGUUGCAUAUAGAUAUAAGAUAUCCAACAUGCGACGGCUGAGAAUGCAUAAGGAUUCUACCCAGUGCUGUAGCAGAUACUGCAGCAACCGAACCAACCAUUAGAAAAUAGUCAAAACCAUUAAGAAAGUUUAUUCACUCAACUACUCCAUAUUCCCAUUGGUUUUAUCCUUGAGUUUGACGUGAUAAUUUACUUUAUUGCAUUUUAUUUAUUGUGUUUUUAUUUUAAUUAGUAUAUUAGUUUCAUUAGUUGUUUUAUUUUAAUUUAGAACAAAAUCUGCACUGUUAAAAUUGUUGUAGCAAGUCUGAUAACAUCAAUCCCUGUGGAGAUGAUCUUAAAUAUUUAUCCUUAUAUUACUUGUUGUAUACACUUGCACAUUGACACUAAUAGCAUUAGUAUUUAUACCCAACACCGACAUCGAACAGAAUUGAAGAUUAGCCUCUGGACACUAAUGAUAAAUCGACUUCUUGAAAACGGUAACCUGACAUCUUCUUUGCAGGUCACUGGAUUAUAAGGGAGAGCCGACAAUUUAAAAUUCUAUCCAAUAGUAACUUGCUCAAGUCAAAACGGCAAUCCGACUUCGAGUUAACGGCAAUCCAACUUCGAGCAAAUUGUCUGUAACAACUAGUUUUCAGCUCAAACUAUAAAAAUGCUCAUUUAAACACAAGCUAUAAUGAUUCCAACUAUUAUCAUUGAGCAAACUAUUGAGCAUACAACUUUCAUUAAGCUUUAAAUUCUUGUAUUCAUCUCAUUCAUUCACACAUUGAGCUUUCAUUUGUGAUCAAACACAUUGUGUAAGAUAAAUUUAUUUUUAAUCUUUUUUGUAAAAUCAAGUUGAGAGGUUGUAAUUGUUGGGAUACACUUGGGUAAAGAGAUUGGGGAUAAUCUCUUGUUGUAAAGGUCUAUUGAUAGCUUGGAAGUCAAUUGUAAGAGUUGUUGAAGCCUUAGAGGCUAUCUUAGUAAAAUCCAUUAAGCCCGGUGAGCUUGGAGGCGUGGACGUAAGCACAGUUGGCCGAACCACGUAAAAGUCUCGUGUUUGCUCUCUCUUCCCCUAUCUCUUUAUUUUUUGUAUUAAGGAUCUUAGUAGCUUAAAUUUUUAGAAACCCAAUUCACCCCGUUCUUGGGUUGCCUAGUUAGAAUUUCAUUUGGUAUCAGAGCUUGGUGCUCUUGUUUAAACUUAACCGUCUAGAGUUAAAGAUUCAUGGCAACUCAAAAUGACUCUAUCUUUAGGGAAGGACAAUCCACAACUAGGCCACCAUUUUUUUAAGGUAAUAACUACCCAUAUUGGAAAACUAGGAUGAGAAUUUAUGUGCAAGCUUUCGAUUAUGAAAUUUGGGAAUUUUUUUGUGACGGCCCAUUCAUGCCAAUGACUAAAAAUGAAGUAGGAGAUGAUAUUCCAAAACCUUUAAGUCAAUGGAGUGAGUUAGAAAAGAAAAAGAUAUCUUUAAACUCUAAGGCAAUGAAUGCUUUAUUUUGUCCUCUUGAUAAGAAAGAGUUUCAUAGAGUGUCUAGUUGUGAGAGUACUCAAUAAAUAUAGGACAAACUUGAGGUUUUCUAUAAAGGGACAAAUCAAGUUAAAGAACCUAAAAUUAGUACAUACACUCGACAAUAUGAAUUGUUCAAAAUGGAAUAAAAUGAAAGUGCGUGUUCUAUAUAUACUAGAUUUAUGGACAUAGUGAACAUUCUAGGAGCUUUUUAGGAAAAAAUGUUUUCAAAUAGUGAGAAAAUUAAGAACAUUAUUAGGUCACUUCCAAAGGAAUGGAGACCUAAGAGGGCUGCCAUUGAGGAAGCUAAAGAUUUAAAUACCUUACCUAUUGAUGAUUUGAUUGGUUCUCUUAUUUCAUAUGAGGAAGACUUGGCAGCAUAUAAAGGCAAUGAGGAGAAGAAGAAAAGCAUUGCUCUCGAAGCCUCAAAACAUGAGAGUGAUGAGGAAAGUGAGCUGGAUGAUGAGGAGAUGACUAUACUGGCUAGGAGAUUCAGAAAAUUCUACAAGAAAACUAGUGAGCGGAGAAGGUUCAGAAACUACAAGAAUAAAAAAAAGACAAAGGAGUCAAUUACUUACAUGUGCAAAAAACCCGGACACAUACGAUCAGAGUGUCAUCUUCUCAACAAGCUCAAGAAGAAAACAAUGGUGACCACAUAGAAUGACAGCGAUGAGGAAACAAGUGAUGAUGAAAAGCAACAAGAAAUGACAAAUAUAGCUCUCAUGGCAAUCGAGGUAGAUCCAUUUGAUGACCUCGAUGAAGUAAGUGAUCUUUCUACAUAUGAUGAAUUACAUGAUGCUUUUAAAGAAUUGCAUGAUGAGUGGAUGAAAAUUAGUAAAAUGAAUGCAUGCCUUAAAAAGAACAUGGUAGAACUUUCAAAUGAAAAUGACGUUUUACAAAAAAAAUGUAAUGACUCAUUAAAUGAAAAGAUUAAAGGACUAGAGUUAGAUAAUCUAAUGUUGCAUGAUAAAAUUGCAUCAUUUAAAGGUAAACAAAGUAUUUUGUAUAAGCAUGAAAAAUCACAUGUUGAUGAAUUGAUGAAAGAAAAUGAAAUGCUCAAGAAAAAGAACAUAAAACUUAGUGAUGUUGUCUCAAAAUUUACAAAUGGGCAAAAGAUGUUGGAUAACUUGCUUAACUCACAAAAAUGUGUGUUUGACAAAGGAGGUACCUCUAUUAAUAAUCAAGUUAUAUGUCACCAUUGUAAUCAAGAUGGUCACAUGAAGUAUAAACGUUCAGUUAAAAGAAAUGCAUAUUAUGAAGUAAAAUGUGUUUGGGUUCCAAAAAGAACCAACGCUAACACUCAAAGACCCAAAAAGGUUUGGGUACCUAAGACUUAAGAUUUUCUUUGCAGGGUUUGAAGAAGAGGAAGAAUAAAUGGUAAUUGGACAAUGGUUGCUCAAGACAUAUGACCGGAAACUAUAUAUGGUUUUUAAGUUUUACCAAAAUCGAAAACGGUGGAAAUGUUUCAUUUGGAGACAAUUUAAAGGGAAAGAUUCUCGGAAUGGGUAAUAUCGGUAAAGUAUCCUCAACUUUAAUUGAGAAUGUAUGUUUAGUUGAAAAUUUGAAACACAACUUGAUUAAUAUUAGUCAAUUGUGUAAUAAGGGUUAUAAAGUUAUUUUUGAUAAAACGAGAUGUGUUAUUGAAAAUGCAUGUGAUGGUAAAAUUUUAUUUGUUAGAAAUAGAUGUAGUAAUGUUUAUACCAUUGAUAUAGAUUGUGCAUCUACUAUCGAUAAGUGAUUUUCCGCAUUGCAUGAUGAUGGUUAGUUAUGGCAUAUAAGACUAGGUCAUGCUAGCAUGGAUUUGAUUUCAAAAAUCUCGAAAAAUGAUUUGGUUAAACGUCUAUCAAAAAACUAGUUUUCAAAAUGAUAGAAUUUGUGAAGCUUGCCAAUUUGCAAAAAAAAAAUCAAAACUUUUAAAAAAAACAAGAACCAUGUCUCUACUUCAAAACCACUUCGAUUACUUCACAUGAACUUGUUUGGACCUUCUAGAUAUGUUAGUUUAAGUGGAAAAUAUUAUGCAUUUGUAAUUGUGGAUGAUUAUUCUAGAUACACAUGGGUAUUGUUCUUAACUAAUAAGGAUAAUGCCUUUGAUGCAUUUCUUGUAUUAGAAGUGAUCAUGGUGGAGAACUUGAAAAUCAUGCAUUUGAGAAUUUUUGUAAUGAUUUUGGGAUUGAGCAACAAUUUUCAUCACCUAGGACUCCACAACAAAAUGGAGUUGUUGACAGAAAGAAUAGGUCUAUCCAAGAAAUGGCUAGGAUCAUGUUGAAUGAAAAUACUUUGCCAAAGUACUUUUGGGCCGAAGUUGUUAACACUGCUUGUUAUGUUUUAAAUCGUGUGUUGAUUAGACCUUAUCUUAAUAAGACUCCCAAUGAGUUUUGGAAAGAUAGAAAACCCAACAUUGAUUUUUUCAAAAUUUUUGGAUGCAAAUGUUUUAUUUUAAACACAAAAGAUAAUCUUGGCAAAUUUGAUCCAAAAUCUGAUGUUGAUAUUUUUCUUGGCUAUUCAAAUACAAGCAAAGUUUAUAGAGUGUACAAUAAACGAGCUUUGGUUGUGGAAGAAUCUAUGCAUGUUACAUUUGAUGAAUCUAACCAUUCCUCUACGGAGAAAGUUGUUGUUGACGAUAAUGCAAAUAAAAAGCUACAAGAAGAUUCAUCAAAGAAUAGCCAAAAGGAUGCACCACUUGAAAAUCAAGAGGAGCACGUGAAGAAACAAAUGCGGAGCAAAAUGAAGGCAUUUCUCAAACACUCCCUAAGGAGUAGCGGUCUAAAGACUUAAUUUUAGGAGGCCACUAGAUCAUCAUUUAGAAAUACUUGUGAGCAUGCUGCAUUCAUAUCUCAAAUUGAACCAAAAUCUUUUGCGGAUGCGGAAAAUGAUGAAUCUUGGAUUAUGACAAUGCAAGAGGAGUUGAAUCAAUUUGAGAGAAGAAUAUGUGGGCAUUGGUUCCUAAACCUGAACAUCAAUCUAUUAUAGGCACUAAAUGGGUAUUUAGAAAUAAAAUGGAUGAAUCCGGUGUGGUUAUAAGAAAUAAAGCUAGAUUAGUGGCUCAAUGGUACGACCAAGAAGAAGGAAUUGAUUUUGAUGAAACAUUUGCACCUGUAGCUAGAUUAGAAUCCAUUAGGAUGCUUUUAGCAUUUACAUGUUAUAAAGAUUUCAUUUUAUAUCAAAUGGAUGUCAAAAGUACAUUUUCAAAUGGAUACAUUAUGGAGGAAGUUUAUGUGAAACAACCCUAUGGUUUUGAAAAUGAAAAUUUUUCAAAUCACAUUUAUAAGUUAACAAAAGCAUUGUAUGGUUUAAAACAAGCACCUAGAGUAUGGCAUGAUUGACUUAAAAAUUUCUUACUGGAUAAUGGUUUUUCAAUGGGAAAGACUGGUACAACUAUUUUUAUUAAACAUAAGAAUCGAGAUAUUCUCAUUGUCCAAAUUUAUGUUGAUGAUAUUAUUUUCGGUUCUAUUAAUGAGUUUUUGUGUAAGGCGUUUUCAUCUUGUAUGAGCAAAAAAUUUGAGAUGAGCAUGAUGGGAGAAUUAAAGUACUUUCUUGGACUUCAAAUAAAACAAACUGAAGAAGAAAUCUUCAUCAAUCAAGCCAAAUAUCUAAGAGAUUUACUCAAGAGAUUCGGACUUGAAGAUGAAAAGAUAAAAAGUACUCCAAUGAGCUCGACCAUCAAGCUUGACGAGGAUGAAAAAGGUAAGGAAGUUGAUGUCAAAGCAUAUCGAGGUAUGAUUGGAUUAUUACUCUACUUGAUUGCUAAUAGGCCUGAUAUUAUGUUUAGUGUAUGCUUGUAUGCAAGAUUUCAAUCAUGUCCUAAAGAAUCUCAUUUGCUUGUGGUAAAAAGGAUUGUUUGUUAUUUAAGUAGAACUAUAGGUCUUGGCUUUUGGUAUCCUAAGGGAACACAUAUGGACUUAACAUGUUAUUCAGAUGCCAAUUUUGCCGAAUAUAAAGUUGAUAGGAAAAGCACUAGUAGAACAUGCCAUUUUCUAGGUUAUUCCUUAGCCUCUUGGUUUAACAAGAAACAAAAUUCAGUUGUACUUUCUACAACUGAAGCAGAAUACAUUGUGGCUAGAAAUUUUUGUGCACAAGCAUUGUGGAUGAAACAAACACUUAGAGAUUAUGGUAUUGCAUUAGAUCAUUUUCCCAUUAAAUGUGAUAACACAAGUGUUAUUAAUCUAUCGAAGAAUCCCAUGCAUCAUUCUAGGAGUAAGCAUAUAGAAAUUAGACAUUAUUUUCUAAGAGUUUGUGUUAAAAAUGAGAUAUUGUGAUUGAGUUUUUUUUUCCACCGAAAAACAAUUUGCUAAUAUUUUUACUAAACCCCAGUCCCAAAUUGAAAAAUCCUUAUUUUGAAACCCUAGAACUGCCGCACCUUUUCUCUCUCGAUUUGGCCAACUUUUCAUCAAUUUUUUGUUAAACGAAAUCUUAGAUACAAUUCUUUUGCCUUCUAACUUCAUUUUUAUCGGUUUAUUUUCCUACAAACUCAUUAAUUUCUAAAAUUCCUGUUUGUUCACUACAAUGAACAGUCGACGACAACAACCUAGGAGGGGUGCUCGAACCAAGCACGCUGCUCCAACCAAUCUUAGUUCCUCUAGGCCUCUCUCUCAGGACUUCGACAACCUUCAUUUUCCAAAUGGUCACUGUUGGUGUAUAAAUACUAAUGAUGUUGGUGUCAAUGUGCAAGUGUACACAACAAGUAAUAAAGUGAUGAGUAUUCAAGAUCGUCUCGACAAGGAUUGAUGUUAUCAGAUUUACUACAGCAAUCUUAACAGUGUAGAUUUUUGUGCUAAAAUAAAAUAAAACAAUUGGUGAAACUAUUAUACUAAUUAAAAUAAAAGCGCAAUAAAUAAAAUGCAACAAAGUAAAUUAUCUCGUCAAACUCAAGGAUAAAACUAAUGGGAAUAUAUAGUAGUUGAGUGAAUAAACUCUCUUAAUGGUCUUAACUAUUUUCUAAUGGUUGGCUCAGUUGCUGCAGUAUUUGCUACAGCACUGGGCAGAAUCCUUAUGUAUCCUCAGCCGUCGCAUGUUGGAUAUCUUAUAUCUAUAUGCAACCUAACAGUGAUCAGUUGCUAUGCCAACAUAAGAUAUAGCAUUACACGCUUAGGUUCUAUUUACCCUACAAGGUGAAUCCUUAUGUCUAGUUCAUCACUAAUCUUAAAUCAAGCAUGGCCCUUUGGGACUCAAGUAAAACUCAAUCCGGGAAACUCGAUUUAAGAUCAAGUAUUGUUCUGAUAUGUUCCACUAAGAUAGGCCCUUUUGCGGCUCUCUCCUAACUUGUAUCAUUAAAUGGGUGAUCAACCGAAAUAAUGAAUAAAAGAAAAUACUAUCGAAACAAACUGCUACAGCAAACAUGCAGCAACACAUAUAUUCAGUCAAUAAACCAUCAAGAUUGUUUAUCACUCAACCACAAAUAAAUUUAGUUCAUGGUUUGUAAAAGAAAAAUAAAGAACAAAGUUUUAGCCAUGAAACACAUCCCCAUAAAUAAAUAGAAAACGAGAAAACAAGAGAAGAAUAAGAAGGAUUGAGCUCCCAAUUGAUUUAUGGAAAUUCUCCUCUUGUGCAGCCCUUAAUCUCUCUCUUGAAUCUUGUUUUUCUUUUGUUUCUUUGUGUUUUUCUCCUUGGGUGACGGCCCCUUUAAUUCUUAUGAUGUGUGCUUCUUUUAUAGUUGAAAAUUAGGGUAAACGGAAGUCUAAGGCGCGCAUAAGUCAGAUUAGGAAACUGCAGAUUGUAAUUCUGCAAGUAUCCCGCACGAAAUUUUCUCUGUCGUUGUUCUAGGAUUGCUACAGCAAUAGCUACAGAAAUGGUUGCUACAGUAACGGCUACAGCAACUGCACUGUUCCAGAUUUGUUUCAACUCUUUUGUAGCCAUGUUCUUUCCUUAUUUUUGUAAGCCUAUUGCAUAGCAUUCCUUCCAUGAAUUAUAAGCUUCUGGAAACCUACAAUUAUGCACACAAUUUGAUCUUGAUUCAAGUCUAGAAUUGAUGUAAUAACUCUCAUUUUAUAGACUUAUCACACCCCCAAACUUAAACCAUUACUUGUCCUCAAGUAAUGACAACAACGCUAACACUUCAAUCACACAAUCAUGCAACAAAUAACUUAGCUCUGUCAUCAGAUUUGCAAGGAUUCUUCCACCCUCAUAUCACACUUUUAAUCAUGCAAAAUAGUCAUAGCAAUUUAGUUCUAGACUUAGGCUUCAUUCUGUCCAUAAUUUUUUUUUUCAGUUAAACCCUUCAAUACAACAUUGAGCUUUCAUGUGAAUGCAUAUCACUUGUAAUGACGACACCCAAUUACUCACUCAAAGUACAUGUCAGAGUUGGUACAACAAUACAUCCACGAUGUUAUAUCUAGGUCAUACCUUUGGACGCCUUUGACUCAAGGCUGAACAUGGGGCUCAUGAACAGACCAGGUUACUCAGUAUCCUAGGCAGCGGACCUCUUUAUCACCAUUUUUUUUUUGCUUUUCUUAUUUUUUUUCUCUUUUUUUUUUAUAAUUGCUGCAGCACUGCUCGUAGCUCGUGUUGCCUUUGGACUCAAGUUUGCAUAUGGGGUGCAUACUCAACCCUGGUUACUCAGCAACUUAAACCAUUGGAGCAUAAUUUAUUUCAUAACAGGCACAGUCCAACAAAAAUUUUUCCCCAAACUUGAGAUAUUUUCUACUCUUUUUUUUUUUCCUGGCUCUGCUACAGGAUUCUCAUAAAACUCAACCAAAGUCUAAGUGUCGGGACAACAUUUCAACCUCCAUCUAUAACUAUCUCUACUUGGCUUUCUCAUAAAUACUGAAUAACACUCAAUUUAUCUUCAUUAGGUUUUCAAAUCCAAACACAAAUAUUAGAUAACAGAGCUUCACACAACACAAGCAUAAACACAUGUACUCAGAAACACAACCCCCCCAAACUUGAGUGGUGCUGUGCCCUCACAAGCACAUAAAACAAAACCACAUAAACCAGACAUGCAUACGUGAAAUAAAAGGACAUGCAGAAUGAAUUAGAAAGUUAAAACUAAAUAAAAGAAAAUUUUUUCAGCAAGAAGUAAAAUAAACUAGCGGUUAGGGGUACUGCCCUGUUGUUGGAAGCACUGCUGCAGCACAGGCUAUAAAGGGUCAUUUCUUCUUUGAUCCACUUCUCAAACGCUCCUUAUCAUAAAAUCUUAUCAAUCCAUUUGUUGCUGCAAAAGCAAGAAAUGCCUCUGUUGUUUGAGAAUCUUCUGUUAUAUGUCAUGCUGUAAGUGAUGCUGCAGCAAUUCCCUCAUGCUCUUUUUGGCACACAUGUUUUUUUUUACUUGUUGCAAUGUAACAUAAACACUUAAAAAAAUUAGAUGCACACUUAAAAUAACAAAAAGACAAGUUAAAUAAUUUAAAAGCUAAAUUUAAUGCCUUAAAAACUUGAAACAACUUCCCUUAUUGGGUUGCCUCCCAAUUAGCUCUUGAUUUUCGGUCUUUCAGCCUGACCUUUCUUGUUUCCUCAACCUGGAUCCUUCAAGAACCGAUCCUUCCUUAGGUUGUUCACAUCAUCUCCCAUAUAGUGCUUUACUCUUGGCCCAUUAACCUUGAAUUCUUGUUGUUCUGGAGUGAGUUCCCUUUGCUGGAUUUGCUCAUCAAUUUUGAAGGGUUGCUUCUCCCCUGACCAUGUUAUAUUAGCUGCUCCACGAUCUUCAUCAUUAAAUUCUUCAAAUGUUACAGCAUUGAUUUCUUCUUUACAGCAGCAGCUGUGUAAUCUCUCUGCUACAAUAAAGUCCACAUCACUGAUAAAAUUACAAUCCUCAAUCUCAUCGGGACUCUUCAUGGCAUCCAGCACAUUGAAUGUAACUUGCUGGUCAUUCACCCUCAUGGUUAAUUCUCAUUUUUGAACAUCAAUUAGAGUCUUUCCCGUAGCUAAGAAAGGUCUUUCGAGAAUGAUUGGCACUUCUUUGUCUGCCUCAAAGUCUAGCACAAUGAAAUCCACCGGAAAAAUAAAUUUAUCCACAUUCACCAAUACAUCUUCAAUCUUCCUUUCUGGAUAGGCAUGAGAUCGGUCAUCAAGUUGUAGGGUCACUGUUGUUAGUCUACAUUCACCAACUCCCAAUUGCUUAAACACUGAUAAAGGCAUGAGAUUGAUGCUAGCCCCCAAAUCACAAAGUGCUUUGCCAUUGUAUUUAGUGCCUAUGGAGCAUGGGAUUGUGAAGCUUCCUGGAUCCUUCAUCUUCUGUGGUAUCUUACUCUGGAGCAUUCGGCUGCACUCUUGUGUUAGAGCAACUGUUUCAAACUCUCCAAGUCUUCUUUUCUUUGUCAAGAUAUCCUUAAAAAAUUUCGCAUAAUUUGGCAUUUGUUCUAGAGCUUCCACAAAAGGGAUAUUGAUAUGUAGCUAUUUCAGUACUCCUAAGAUUUUGCUGAACUGCUUGUCUUGUUUUUGCUUCUGAAACCUUUGAAGAAACAGUGGUGGAUGUCUAAACUGUUGUGCUGCAGCAGGUUGUGCAGACUGCUUCUCUUUUUCCAUGUUCUAGGUUGGUGCUACAGCCUCGUUAUCCACAGGUGUUAGAUUAUCAUUUUCGGCAAAUGCUGCAGCUUGACUGCUCUCACCAGUGUACUGUAAAGUGGAGGAUUGUGACUCUUUUUCAAGUUGAGUUUCUUUCCGGAUUGAAGUGGGCGCAACUUUUCUUUUUGGUACACCAAUGAGACUAUGAACAUCCUUUCCAGAUCUCAAGUUAAUCACUUUGCAGUACUCUUUCCCUUCUCUUCUUGGGUCCUCUGUAUUACUGGGUAAACUACCUUUAGGUCUGUUGCUCAAUGCUGCAGCAAGCUGUCCAAUUUGAUUUUCUAAGUUUCUCAACGACAUAGUAUGACUUUGGACAACUGCUUCAUUCCUCACAAUAUAAUCCUUAAUCAAACCUUCAAGGGAGCUGAGUUGAUCAUUGUUGAUGCUUCUUUGCUCUUGAUUUUGCUGAUAAAAUCCAGGUGGUUGAGCAGGUCUGUUCUGCCCACUGAGUGCUACAGUAGGCUGAUUCUGAUUAUUCCAUGAAAAGUUUAGGUGUUGUCUCCAUCCAGAGUUGUAAGUGUUUGAAUAUGGAUUGUCCUGGUUCUGUCUAUUGAAGUUGCCCACAUAAUUGACUGAAGUUGGAUUCCCAGGACAAUUGUCGAAUAAAUGCCCUUCUCCACAAUAAACGCAAGACACGUCAGAAAUUUGGUUAACAGUUGCUGGAGCAACAGUCAUAGCUUUUACCAUCUUUGUUAAUGAAGUUACUUGGGCUGACAAUGCUGUCAAGGCAUCUACGUUAUGAACUCCUGUUGUUCCUCUUGUUGCAGCUUGUCUGGUUGAUGGCCACUAAUAGUUAUUGUUGGCUAUCCUCUCCAAAAUUUCAUAAGCCUCAUUGUAAGACUUAGAUAACAAGGCCCCAUUUGCUGAAGCAUCCACCAUCAAUCUAGUGCUUUGGUUGAGACCAUUAUAGAAAGUUUCCAACUGUAUGCAGCAAAGAAUACCAUGAUGAGGACCUCUCCUGAGUAACUCCUUAAAUCUCUCUCAUGCAUCACACAAGCUCUCAUCUUCAAGUUGAUGGAAAGAUGUGAUCUCGUUCCUCAACUUUGCAUUCUUGGUUGGCGGGAAGUAUUUCAUCAAAAAUUUGUCAGCCAAAUCAUUCCAUGUAGUGAUAGAAUCUAGUGGUAGAGAAUUCAACCAUGCUCUUGCUCGAUCUCUCAAAGAAAACGAGAAAAGUCUGAGUCUUAAUGCUUCUUGCGAUGCUCCAGCAAUCUUGAAAACAUCACUUACUUCCAAAAAUAGCUUAAGAUGUAGAUGAAGAUCUUCUUAUGGUUGUCCAUUAAAUUGCCCCACUGUUUGUAGCAUCUGAAACAUCACUGGUUUGAGCUCAAAAUUGUCAGCUUGAACUUCGGGUCUAACUAUUCCCGAAUGUAUGGCUUGAGGAGUUAAUACUGCGUAGUCUCAAAUGGCUCUAUCUCUAUCGUUCGCCAUGUGAAUAAUGUUGUUGUUCCCUGGUUGCCUUUGAACACAUUGUCCAUUCAGACCUUCAUGUACGGUUCAAGUUUCUCAAAUCUUGUAAAUCAUCCAUUGCUACAGCAGCUUGUAAUUCCUGAGGCUCUGUUCUCAAUCUUCUUGCAGUUCUUUCAAUUUCUGGAUCAAACUGGAAGUCAACAGAUUUAUAUUUGCGCAUGCAAGGGUUGCUAGAUCACCUAUGUCAACAAAAUAAACAAAUUAAAAUAAAAUAAAAUAAUUAGCACCGUUAAAACUAAUUUCACAAAUCACAAUUAACAAUCAAUCCCCGGCAACGGCACCAAAAAAAUUUUUGUGUAUAAAUACUAAUGAUGUUGGUGUCAAUGUGCAAGUGUACACAACAAGUAAUAAAGUGAUGAGUAUUCAAGAUCGUCUCCACAGGGAUUGAUGUUAUCAGAUUUGCUACAGCAAUCUUAACAGUGCAGAUUUUUGUGCUAAAAUAAAAUAAAACAAUUGGUGAAACUAUUAUACUAAUUAAAAUAAAAGCGUUACACGCUUAGGUUCUAUUUACCCUACAAGGUGAAUCCUUAUGUCUAGUUCAUCACUAAUCUUAAAUCAAGCAUGGCCCUUUGGGACUCAAGUAAAACUCAAUCCGGGAAACUCGAUUUAAGAUCAAGUAUUGUUCUGAUAUGUUCCACUAAGAUAGGCCCUUUUGCGGCUCUCUCCUAACUUGUAUCAUUAAAUGGGUGAUCAACCGAAAUAAUGAAUAAAAGAAAAUACUAUCGAAACAAACUGCUACAGCAAACAUGCAGCAACACAUAUAUUCAGUCAAUAAACCAUCAAGAUUGUUUAUCACUCAACCACAAAUAAAUUUAGUUCAUGGUUUGUAAAAGAAAAAUAAAGAACAAAGUUUUAGCCAUGAAACACAUCCCCAUAAAUAAAUAGAAAACGAGAAAACAAGAGAAGAAUAAGAAUGAUUGAGCUCCCAAUUGAUUUCUACAAAUUCUCCUCUUGUGCAGCCCUUAAUCUCUCUCUUGAAUCUUGUUUUUCUUUUGUUUCUUUGUGUUUUUCUCCUUGGGUGACGGCCCUUUUAAUUCUUAUGAUGUGUGCUUCUUUUAUAGUUGAAAAUUAGGGUAAACGGAAGCCUAGGGCGCGCAUAAGUCAGAUUAGGAAACUGCAGAUCGCAAUUUUGCAAGUAUCCCGCAUGGAAUUUUCUCUGUCGUUGUUCUAGGAUUGCUACAGCAAUGGUUGCUACAGCAACUGCACUGUUCCAGAUUUGUUUCAACUCUUUUGUAGCCAUGUUCUUUCCUUAUUUUUGCUAGCCUAUUACAUAGCAUUCCUUCCAUGAAUUAUAAGCUUCUGGAAACCUACAAUUAUGCACACAAUUCGAGCACAAAUUACUUUAAAUCGAGCAAAACUUAUUAAGACUGACUAAAAUGAUUAUUUAUGCAAAAUAUAAUAAAAAUGCAAUAGAAACACAUAAUUUACUCUCUAAGUAGUAUUGAUUUAAGCCUAAAAGUGCCAUGAUAACUCUCAUUUCAUAGAGUUAUCAGUCACAUGGCUUAACGUUUCCACAUAAGCUUAAUGAGAAAAACUGUAACUUCUUCAUUCUACAUUGAUAUUGAUGAGUUCUCUGAUAUUACUAUAUGUGGUAGAACUAUUCCUCAAAUUCUAAGGCAAUGAGAUGAAGCCUAAGAUGUUGAAGAGCAAGUCUAUGAAAACCUAGGUAGGGUGUUUUACUCUAAUAUGGAGUUUUCAGUUACCUGAAAAGAUAGGAUAGUGACAGAUGUUAAGGUAUUAUGAUGGCAUUAGGAACAUCUGUAGACGACGCGAUCUCUCUGACAACGUCUGUUCAUUGUCUUUUCGGUCCCAACUUUUACCCUUCGAGGUCCGUAUUCUACAUAGUAUACUCUAGCACAUGAUUACACCUAGACAAGGUCACAGUGAUGAGGUAACUAAAUUGGAUGUUGCUUUACUUGAUUCUCUCAUCUGUGGAAGGAAAGUGAAACUCGCAUUCACAAUCAUGCGUCACAUGCUAUCUACUCCUGCUGUGACUAACCGGUCUCUUCCAUAUGGUAGCAUUAUCAGUAGAAUCCUUAGGCAUUUUCACGUUCCCUUGACCAAACUUGUCUAUGUUAAGAUAAAAAACUGGGUAGGGAAAUUAUUUCGGGAAUUGGCUUUCACUAGAAGCAGGGGAAGUGGAUCAAAAUCCUAUUCUUUUUUAUGAUGAAGAUAUUUUAGUAGCUUCGAAGGAUAACCAAAUGCUUAAUGAUAUUUAUUUCGAGGAUGAGUUACUUGAUUUUCGACUCGGCACUAGACCUCGUGCACCUCGCUGGGCUGCAGCAGCCCAAUCUCAGGAUGAGGAGCCAGCCAAGCUAGUAGAGCACCCUGAGGCAGCUUCAGUUUCUAAGGAUCGCAUACAGCAGCUUUUCGACAAAGUGGAUACCCUCUUCAUGCAGCAGCAGCAGCUUCAAUCCCAAUUUCAGACAUUUCAGUAGCAGAAACUUCUUGAUGGUCAGCGACGCAUCCUUGCUUCCCUUGGUUUCCAUCUUGGUGGUUCCUCCUCGCAGCCCCCAUCUUAGUUUCUGCAUUUAUGUUUUUCGCACAUACAUUCCUCCUCUCGUUUGUUUUAUGUUUUGGAUGAUAUCAUGUAGUUUUUAUGGUGAUAUUUGGAUUGCAAAGUUAUUUUUAAUUUAACUUGAUGAUUUUGAUGAUUAAAUGGUUACAUACAUGUUGGUUAUUUAAGCUUUGAUUGUGAUUGUAAUGUUUUUGAUGAUAUGUUGCUUAUCUGGUUGCAAAAUUGAUGAAUAUGGAGUUUUGUUGAUUAAUUGAAUCUUAUAUGGGAGUGUUCAUAAAGUAAAAGUUUUAUACUCAAAUGGAAAAUGAUUUGAUGAAAUUGGUUGUUUUCAAGUUCAUGAUCUAAUUCAAAAGUUUUGAAAACUUUGAAAUUAACAAGUAAUUGCUUAAAAUUCUGGAAAUGGACUUAUUUGACAAGUUUCAAAAAGUUUUAGGUCAUAGUAUAAGUUUAUAAAGUUUUGGGGCAAACUUAUAAUUUUAAAAAAUAGUUUAUUGUAGUAGUUCACUGUAGACAUUAAAUAGAAUUGAAGAUUAGCCUCUGGACACUAAUGGCAAUCCGACAGCUUAAUAACUGCUAAUUGAUAUCGAACAAAACUGAAAAUUAGCCUUUGGACACUAAUGGUAAAUCUGCUUCUUGAAAACGGUCAGCCGACAUCUUUUUUACUGGUCAUUAGACGAUAACGGAGAGCCGACAUUUCAAUAAUAGUGAUCCGACAAUUUGAAAUUCUGUCCAACGGUAACUUGCUCAAGUCAAAAUGACAAUUUGACUUCGAGUUAACGGUGAUCCGCCUUCGAGCAAAUUAUUUGUAACAGCUAGUUUUCAUCUCAAACUAUAAAAAGGCUCAUUUAAACACAAAUUAUAAUGAUUCCAACUGUUGUCAUUGAGUAAACUAUUGAGCAUACAACUUUCAUUAAGCUUUAAAUUCUUGUAUUCACCUAAUUCAUUGAGCUUUAAAUUCUUAUAUUCAUCUCAUUCAUUCACACAUUGAGCUUUCAUUUGUGAUCAAACACAUUAUGUGAGAGAAAUUUAUUUGUAAUCAUUUUUGUGAGAUUAAGUUGAGAGGUUGUAAGUGUUGGGAUAUACUUGGGUUAAGAGAUUGGGGAUAAUCUCUCAUUGUAAAGGUCCAUUGACACCUUGAAAGUCAAUUGUAAGAGUUGUUGAAGCCUUGGAGGCUUAUUUAGUGAAAUCCUUAAGCCUAGUGAGCUUAGAGGCGUGGAUGUAGGCACGGUUGGCUGAAGCAUGUAAAAAUCUCGUGUUUGCUCUCUCUUACCCUACCUCUUUAUUUUUUAUUGCACAUUAAUUUUUUCAUUUCAAAUUUAUUUGCUUUGUUUAAAUUGUAUUAAGUUUCUUAGUAGCUUAAAUUUUUAGAAACACAAUUCACCCCCUCUUGGGUUGCCUAGUUAGUAUUUCAAUCACAUUAAAGGUUGCUACUGAUAAUGUGGCAAGAACGUUGGUGGACAUUGGCAGUUCUGUAGACAUUAUCUUCAAAAGUGCCUUGGAUCAUUUAGUGAUUGACUCACCAAAAAUCACUCCGAACGAUACGCGUUUAUUGAUUUCACAAGUAAUAUUGUCAUCCCAAAAGGCACGGUUACAUUGCCCGUAACUAUUGGUAGAGUACUCCAUCGUAUCAUUCAUAUGAUUGACUUCCUCAUUAUUGAUAGUCGGACUACCUAUAAUACUAUUCUUGGCAGGCCAUUUUUAACGAAAACUAAAGCAGCGGUAUCCCUAAAUCAUUUAGCUAUGAAAAUUCCAAUUGCCGCAUAUGUUGUCACCGUCAAAGGAGACCAGCAAGCAGCUAGGGUUUGCUAUAUUGUUGCCUCUAAAGAAAGCUAUUAGAUUGUUUCUGACACUCAGUUGAAGUCGUACCUCACUAGAGACAAAUUAUCUCCACAUAAGAUAUUAGGAGUAUCAGAUGACACCUAUCCGAAACCCAUAGAUGAGAUCGAAGUACCUUUGGAUCACCAAAUUCUCAAAGUGAAGAUGGGUACCCCAGCUUAGAAAAGUUGGUCUUUCAGCCUCGCUCGGCCAUUGAAGCUCAAGCUAUUAUCGAUUUCUUGACCGAAGUCGCCAAUGACUCCGGAGGUGAGGGAAUCCUAGGAUACCCGAGCUAGACUAAACCAGCAACAGAAGAAGAACAACUUUGGGGAAUCAGUAUUGAUGGCUCUCCCAACAUAUGGAAGUGGUGCGGGAGUAAUCAUCUUUGGCUCCAAAAGAGAAAAGUCGUACUACUAGUAAAGUGAUAACACUCCACCUCCUUUUGUUUAUUCUGUUUAUUUUCUUUAAUGUUUAUGUAUUUGAGAUAUUGAGUACCCUAAACUGGUCAAUUGCACUUUUUAAUUCCUUAAGUCUCUAAUGACAAUAACAAAUGAUCCUAGGAUUCCCUAUAUUCUUUUAAGGAUAACAAAAUACUGUCAUGUAAUGAUCCCCAAAGUACCCCAAACUGGUCAGUUGCACUUUUUAAUUCGCUCAGUCUCUAAUGACAAUAACAAGUGAUCCUGGGAUCCCCAAUAUUCUCCUAUGGAUAACAAAAUAGUGUUAUGUAAUGAUCCAUGUCUCCACUUUCUAUGAAUGUAUUUGCUUUAAAAAAUUUAAUGAUGUGUGCUCUUUUAUUUGUCUUUGAAUUAUUUGAUAUCGAUGAGUAGUUUGAAAUGCUAUAAGAAUAUGUCUGCCAUUAAACUAUCUCCAUAUAUAUCAUUGAGCAUUGUUUAUUAUGAUGUAAGAUAGUAUCCAGAGAUUGCCUUAUUCUGGGGUAAACUGGGGUACCUGACCUAUUUCGAUCAUGAUGAUCUACUCAACGUUAAACCCAACAAAAGGGCAGUUAGUAGUUGUCUUUAUCAUUAUUUGUUCACCAUAUUUGAUUCUGAUCGAAUGGCGAAUCAUGAGGUUUUCGACCAUCUUGCAUAAAGGUAGGCGGCCAACUGCCUGUAUCUCUAUUUAUGUCGUUUAUUUAAUUCUACGUGAAUGGAGGAUCAUGAGAUUUUUUACCAUCUCGCAUAAGGGUAGGCAAGUAGCCGCUUUUAUCACUAUUUGUCUCGCAUAUUUAAUUCAAAGUAAAUGAUGGAUCAUGAGGUUUUCGACCAUCUCGUAAAAGGAUUCGCUACAAUUUUUGUUAAGAUUUGCAGCAAGCAUGUCUAAGCAUAUCGUCAUACAAUGAUGAGAUAAGAUUAGGGGUACUCAGAGUACCCAUGCCAGAAAGUCAUUUCUCGAAUAUACCAAGAGGGGACCUUAAGAAGCCUCAAGGAGAGUAGAAAAUAAGUUCGCCUAUGUUGUUAUUCUAGUUAUGGAUUUACAUGCUUCAUUAAUUUGUUACGCCGAUACUUUGGUUAGUUGAUAAGUACUAAGAAUCACCAUAAUCUCCUAAAGAUUAACAACAAGCAUAUCUAGAUGAAUCACCAUAUUGAUGAUGAAAUUGGGUUGCUCCAUCAUGAAGUAAGAGAUAGCUCGAUGAGCAUCUAAGUUAAAGAGUACCCGAGAUACCUCAUGCGCCUGGUCAGAUUUCAUAAUGGAUUAAAGAAUCAACAUUCAAAGCUUUAUCAUAAAGUAAGAGAUAGCCCGGUGAGUAUGUAAGCUUAAAGGUACCUGAGGUACCCCAUAUGCCCAGUCAGAUUUCAAAAUGCAUCAAAGAAACAACAUCUAAAGCUAUUAAAAAAAAUACCAUUACAUGCAAUCACAAAACAAUUUGGGCACCACCAUAGAAAGAGGUAUAAUAGGAAGUCAAGAAAGUAGCUCCAAGUCAGAAUUCAGGAAAAGUGCCAACAAACAAGUAAUAACACCAAAUAAAGUUACAUAUUAGGUGCAUCAUCCUCACAUUCAUCCUUCUGAUGAGAGCUUUGGUUGGGGUAAGCGAAGUACACUGGAUGACCUUUGUGGACUACUAGACUAAGGUAUAUGGGAUUUCGUUUCUGCCUCGGUCACUACCAAGAUAGUCGAUUUAUCGACCCACUUUUCUUUCUUGGGUACCAACAACCUCAGCCCCACAGUUCAACCUUCAGUCAUUAUACAACCCUCAACUCCAAUGAUCUGUUGGCCACACAAGGCUUUUCCUCAGAUGGAUCAUUGAGGUACCCCUUUAAAGUUUUGUUCUACUGAUUAAGCUUCUCCUCGGAGGACUUGUGGCUUCAGAGUUCAAUUAUCAGUUUCUCCACCUUAGACUGAGCAUUGGAGCCUGGAGGCAGUAUUGAGGUCUUGGAAUCGGUGACUUCGAUAAAAAGUCACCUGCUGCUAGUAGGAAGUACCAUAGAAAAUGCAAGUAAAAGGUUGCUUACAGCACUUAGUUAGGCUCUGCAUAAGUUGGCACUAGCUCUUCUUUAGUAAAAUCCUCAGGCAGAGAGAAGAAGGAUCCCAAUUUUCUUUUGCGCCCGUCAGGGGUAACCUUGAAGUUACUCUUUUUUAGCCGAGCCAUCCACGCGAGAACUUUUACUAAGUGAGCGAGGAAGUAAUCUCUAAGCUUUUAUGAGGCCCAAUUCACCCUCAAAAAGCGAGAAGGCUGGAUGUUUUUUGAAGAAGGAGUGAUACCCGAGCUACUCAAAGAGCCAUCAUUCAUUUAGGUAGAAAAAAGGUAUCAAAGUCAUCUAAGGGAGGAUUUAAAUCUGCCAACUACUGCACAUAAAGAAAAAGGGUCAGUUAUAUGAAUAUUGGACUCCAUUAUUUUCCUUCUGUAAAGCCCCCUAAACUCUCUAAGUGAAAUAUCUGUUUCAAGUAAUUCCGACUAUAAUAACUAAAGGCCUGAUUGGAAGGAUAUGCGAAGUACCAGAUCAAUAUGAAGUGCUAUCUCAUCUGUCUUCGGGCAUUCUAGGGUUUCAUUCUUGUGGGGUACCCAGUGGUCAGCAAAAUAAAGAAUGUAGUACUUAAUCCUGAUAUGCUCUAGGCCUCACAAAGUAGCCCUCCUACCACCUAGAAAGCGAGAUUUGUUAGACCUAGAGAAGGAAAGUAAUGGAAUAGUUUUUGGACAUGUGAACUAAUAUGGUCAACCUAGAAAAGGGUAAGUGCCUUUUUCUUGCUCAACCAUCGGUGAAGGUGGGCCAAACAUUGCUACGUGUCGUUCAUAAUUCCUUAAAUAUUUUCACUAUAAAGAGAAUAGAGGGAUUUUUUUUAGAGAAUAAAUAGAAUAUUGAAAAUAAAGCACCACGUGUCGAUGAGAAGGUUUUGGUGACUGAAAGUUACGCUCAUAAGGUACCCAAUCCAUGCUAGGUAUAUUCUCCAGAUAAACAAAUACGCGGGAUACGCCAACCAUCGGUGAAGGUGGGCCAAACAUUGCCACGUGUCGUUCAUAAUUCUUUUACGAGUUUCUUUUGCCUUAAAUACUUUCGCCAUAAAGAGACUAGAGGGAUUUUUUUUGGAGAAUAAAUAGAAUAUUGAAAAUAAAGGCCCACGUGUCGACGAGAAGGUUUUGGUGACUGAAAGUUACGCUCAUAAGGUACCCAAUCCAUGCUAGGUAUAUUCUCCAGAUAAACAAAUACGCGGGAUACGCCAUGACAGAGUUAAGGAAUUGAAGGAAAUAUCCAAAAAUGACCAUUACACGUGAUGUCCCAAUAGAAUAUUUGAUUUGAUGAAAUUAAAUCAAGAAUAUUCUGUCAGAAAAAGGGAGACAACUGAUAACUCUAUGAAAUGAGAGUUAUCAUGGCACUUUUAGACUUAAAUUAAGAUUACUUAAAGAGUAAAUGAUGUGUUUUUAUUGCAUUUUAAGGAUGUUUUGCAUGAACCUCCACUUUAGUUCAUUAUUAGUUAAUUUCGUUUGAUUUAGAAUAAUUUGUGUGUUAGAUCAUUUGCAUGUUUAUAAGUGACCGGAAGCUCAAAUCUCAAUGAAGGAAUGUUGCUGCAAUAGGCUUGCAGAAUAUGGAAAAGAACUUGGCUACAAAAGAAUUGAAACAAGUCUGGAGCAGUGCAGAUGUUGCAGCCAUUGCUGUAGCAACCCUUGAACAACGAAAGAGAAGAUUUCGCGCGAGAUAUUUACUGGAUUGCGAUCUAGAGUUUCCUAAACUGGAAGAUGUACGCCCUAGACCUUCGGUUGCCUUAACUCUAAACUAUAAAAGGUGCACGCAUCACAAGAAAAAAGGAGGCCGUAAUCAAAUAGUACUAACCGAAAGAAAAACAAGAAAGAAAACGAAUUCGAGAAGAAGAAGCAAGCUUGCUCCAGUGACAAUUCAGUAGAAAAUAAUUAGGAGUCAACUUUUCUCAUUCUUGUUUUGUUACUUACUUGUUCUUUGAGCAUGAAGAUGUAUUCGAUGGUUAAGACGUUUGUGUUUAUCUUUCUUUCACAAGUUAUACACUAAGUUUAAUGGUAGUUGAGUGACAAAUAAUCUUAAUGGUUUCUUGACUGAUUAUAUAAGUUGCUGCAUGUUUGCUAUAGCAUUUUGUUUUGAUAGUAUUUAUUCAUAACCAUUAUUUCGACUAACCACCCAUUUAAUGAUACAAGUUAAGAAAGAGCAGCAAAGGGCCUCUCUUAAUGGAACAUAUUAGAGCAAUACUUGGUCUGAAAUUGAGUUUCCUGGAUUAAGUUAACUUGAGUCCAAAAAGGGUCGUGCCUGAUUUAAGAUUAGUGAUGAACUAGAUGUAGGAAUUCACCUUGUAGGGUAAAGAGAACCUAAACAUAUAAUGCUAUAUUUUAUGUUGACAUAGCAAUUGGUCAUUGUUAGGUUGCAUAAAGAUAUAAGACAUCCAACAUGCAUCCAACAUGCGACAACUGAGGAUGCAUAAGGUUUCUGUCCAUUGUUAUAGGAAAUGCUGCAGCAACUGAACUUAAUAGGAGAAGAACAGUAAACACUAUUAAGAGAAUUUUAUCACUCAACUACUCUAUUUUCGAGUGAAUUUAUUCUUGUGAUUGAAGUGAGAAGCAUAUUGAUUGAAUCUUUGUUAUUUGCAUUUUUUUAAUCCCUUAGUUCUAUUAAUUAUUUUAAUUUAGACUUUAGGUUGCACUGUUGAAAUUGCUGUAGCAAUUCGUAUAACAACAAUCCUUGUGGAGAUAUUCUUGAAUUCUCAUCAUUAUAUUAUUUGUUAUGUACACUUGCACAAUUGACACCAAUAGUUAUUGAACUAAAAAAAAUAUACAACAACAACCGACUGCAAUAUCAGCAAAAAACCAAAAACAGCGCAUAAAGAACAGUGGUCCUUCAUUGUCACGCAUGAUAUUGUAUAGACAACCUCUGCAAUCACUUGUAGUGCACGCCACGUACACUAAACGACAAUGCCCAUAAAAAAAACCGCAUUACUGCUCUCCAAGCAUGUUCCUAAUGGCUCAAAAACAACCAUAAUGGUAAAAGGACGUAAAAAUUUCAAAAAGGACAAAAAAAUCACCACUAAAAAUAUGCCACGUGGCAAGGUACCCAGGCUGUACUAUAUAAAGGGAAAAAGGUUAUAUCUCUCUCAUACUCUUACACACUCAUCUUCUCUAAUACUCAUUACAAAUACACACAAAAAUGGGACUGAGGUCUUCUUCAAUCUCCAGCCACCAUUUUCAGAGAGCUUGCAAGCUCUCAUCACCUAAAAAAAAGUUCAAGUAGCUAACUUGAGCGUUGGCGUGUGGUCGCCGGCCACCGUGGCUCCACCUCUAACCUCCUUUUCUUAUUUUUCAGGUCUAAAUGCACCAUUUAAAGGGUCCUACAUUCCACAUCUGACCUCUCACUAUUUCAGCCCUCUUCCACUCUUUUUUGUCUCUUUUAAAGUCUAAAAUAUCCCCUACACCAAAGUUAAGUGAGGUACCCUAAUCCCCAAAAAAUAUAAAUUCAUUGUUUUUGUGAGAUUUUUAUUCAUAUCCCUUACAACCCAAAAUCCACUUAAAACAAUAUAUAUUGCACGAAUUCACGUUCAUAAAACAGUGAACAAAAAAAAAAAAUUCAUAUCCUUUCGCUCAACUACUUGUUUGGGAAUCGUCCUUAAUUAUCAUGUUUUUUGAAACGAAAUUUUUAGUAAGGAGCUUAGAUUUUUCAUACAUGAGAAAUUCUGAGGUAAAUCCCUUUUUUUAAUAUCUAAGACUUAAUAACGCUUUAUUUUUUCACAUAUUGCCCCCCCCCCCCCAAAAGAGUUACAUAUAAUUAGGGGAACAUAAUGAGACAUUUACAAGAAUUAUAACACAAGCGAUAAUGAAAAAACAAAAAAGCAAUGUGUCAGAAAAUAGAUAAGCAAAAGCACAAUUAUAAAACGAACUAAAUUCAUACUUGGGGAGUCCAUUAGCAUCUUAAUUGAAAGAGGAACUCUCAAAUUUCAGACUGAAGAAUAUGUUGGCCCUAGAAUUAAGGUUGAGUAGUUGUAACUUAAAAGUUAUAGCAUUGAAAUAUUUAAUAAACACUAGUUGCUGUAACUUGGAAGUUAUAUUGAUACGAUUAUUUUUUACUUGCAUGAUGAAAAAUCUACUAUAUUUUUAAUAAUUUUAUCAACAUUAUUAUUUAAAAAUUAUAUUCACAAUGUGUCAUUAACUUUUAUUUUAUAGUUACAGCUUUUUGCUACAGCAACUAUAACAUAAAAGUUAUAACAUCUCAAUCCCAAAAAAGACCAUCAUCACUUAUCAGGUAAAAUUAUCACACAGUAAACCUAAGUUGGACAAUCAAUAUAUGACAAUAACAAUUUUUCUUUGUAUAUGCGAAAAUAAAAUAAUCAUUUGAGAAAGUAAAUUCAUACAAUUCACCCAACAAUUUUGAGGCAUCCAACAGGAGGAUUUUAAAAGAGAUUUCUGUAUUGACUUUUGUUUCGAUUGGAAAAAAUAAAUUGAUAUUCUCUUAAACAUUUUGAGGGUUUAUUAGAUAAAAUAAUUUUUUUCUUUCCAUUCACGUGCUAAAGAUUGUUGAUUGGUCCCUCACCUUCUAUCAAAAUUUUAAGAGCAUUCAUUAUUGUCAAAAUAAAAAAAGUAACUUUUACCUAAAUAUAAUUAAUGACAGAGGAGUCUUAGGUUAAUUUUCAAAAUAAAAAGAUUAAACAGGCAUUAAAACUAAAAUAAUAAAAACCAAAUAAGCAUUUAUCCUCCUACUUAAAUGGUAUUAUUUUACCUUUAAAAAGGUUAGUUUUCGACUACUACAGUGACAAUAAUCUUCUGAAUAAUUAUAGAAUAAUGUAGAAUGUUAUUGUAGGACUUUUGGAUUUAUUAUUUUAGGUCUUUUGGUAUUUUCUAUUUUUUAUUGGAGUCAGUUAAGCAUGUGUUUUAGUCUUUUAUUUUUAUCAUAAUUGUAAUUUAGUUUCACUUUUUAAGUUAAUUUAAAAAAGUAGGUUUCUUAUAUUAUAAAUAGAGAAAUCUUGUUAUUAUUAUCGUAUCUUCUACCUUUUGAUUAAUAGUAAAACCUCUCUUUUAUAACUUACUUUGUCAUCAUCUAUCAAAAUUUCUAUUGUAGAGUCGUUUAGAGUAGAGCGCCAUCUAAUCUCACUUAGCACAUUAUUAAAAUCUCCUUAAGUUGUUUAGAUUAGAACGAGAUAUAAUUAUACUUCGAUUAGAGCAUAACCUAAUCGCAUCGACUUGAUUCAGUACUAUAAUGGUAUAUAGUGUUUUUCUACCUUAUCAUUUCGCUUCCACUAUCCUGCCCCCUCACAGAGAAAGUGAACGAUCGAGAAGGAAAGAAAAAGCCUAUUAACUUCUAUUUUAAUAUGGCGUCAAAUUUUGCUUGAAGUCUUAACUUCUCUUGGGCUUAGGGCUUAGGAAAAAGCCUAUUAACUUUAUGUAUCGAGUUGGACUAUUGACAUCCCCUAUAAAUCUCCUUAAACCCCUUUCGUCGUGUAUUCACCCACACUUUUAACCUUAUUUAUAAUUAUAUUUAAAAUCAAAUCUCUUUAGUCUUUGCAUCCCAUGUAAUUAUAAAUCAUGACUAGACAGUUCAUCUCUCCGAUAUUUCUUUAACCCCACUUUCACUCGUUAGCGAUUGGUUGAAAUAAAAUUUCGAAGAGUCUUCGGCGAAUAUUUACCUGCAAAGUCUGAGAAAGGAACUUUCAGAUUUCACUAAGAAGAUGUCAUCAGGUAAAAUUAUCACACGGUUAACCUAAGUUGGCCAAACAAUUUAUGACAAUCUUCUUUUCUCUUUUUGUGUGACAAAAUAGAAUACUCUUUUGAGAAAGUAAAAAAUCACGAUUUAACCAACAAUUCUGAUGCAUCCAAAGUGGAGGAUUAUCAUGAAGAAGGAUAUGUAUAACCAACAACGCUGAACUGCUUUCUAACCAUAAAUUAUGCCAACCAAGUUUUUUAACCUUUCUAACAAUAAAUACUAUGAUAGAAAAUAAAAAAAAAUAAAAAAUAUCUUAAAAUGAAUAUAGAAGUUUUAGUUAAAUCAAUUUAAUAAAAUUUAUUCUAAUUAUUUUCAAUUCAAAAUUUUCAUUUUCAAUUGAUAAGUGAUUUUUUCUUUACUUCAUUAAAUUAAAUGAAUAAACUAUUUUUGUUUUAAUUAAAGAGUAAUAUUGAUUUACAAGUAUUAUGUUAUUUUGCAAUUUAAAAACACUAGUUUAUCACUCUAUUUCAUUUAAUUGUCUUACGUGUAACUUAAUCAAAAUUUAUAUUUAUCACGACAUUUGUUAAGUAUAGCUGAAGCUGCUGCUGUAGCUGCUGAGCUGGAUUGGGUUGUUGUUCACACUAACUAAGCUGUAACGGAUUAUCCAGCUGGCUUGAUGUGAUUGGAAGUCUAAUUAGUUUGUUAAUAUAGCAACGUUGAGCUCUGUUUUGGUUGUUAGUUUUGAGUGUAAUUAUAAAUACUGGCUAACACGUUUUCAGUGUUAAGCUUUAGUUUUAAUCAAUAAGAAUCUACUCUGAUAAAGUUUCUUUGUUAAUUUUCUUUCACUUUCUUACUUGCCAAACAUCCUAUUAAUUCUAAUAUGGUAUCAGAGCCUGCACCCAUGUCAGAAUCUAAUCAUAUAGCUUCCUCAUCACUUUCAUUCAACUUUGUUCAACCUAUAAAACUUGAUAGAUCAAAUUAUUUGGUGUGGAAAGCUCAAGUUAGAACGUCGAUCAUUGCUAAUGGACUUGAAAGCUUCAUCAAUGGUGAGAAUGUAUGUCCAGAACGUUAUCUCACUGAAUCUACUCAAGAACUUCGAAGAUCUGGAGCUGAAGCAUCACAGAAACAGGAAAAUCCAGACUAUAUCUUAUGGAUGAAAACUGACAAACUUCUGCAAAGCUAGAUGUUUUCAUCAAUGGUGGACAAUGUAUUAAUCAUGGUGAUCAACUGUGAAACAUCACUUGAGCUUUGGGAGAUGCUUGCUGGAAUCUUCAUGUCACAAUCCAAAGCGAGAUAUCUGCCUUUGAAGAUGCAGAUUCAAUCAACAAAGAAAUGAUCACUCUCAAUUAGUGAUUACUUCAACAAGAUGAAGAAGAUUGCUGAUAGCUUGGCCAUUGGAGGUAAUCCAAUUACUUCGAAUGAAUUGAUUAUGCACUUGCUUACUGGAUUGGAUGAAAACUAUGAAUCCUUAGUCACAAAUAUACUUACUAGAUUCGAAAAAGAGAAACUUACAGCUGAAGAGGUGUAUUCUAUGAUGCUUAGUCAUGAAACUAGGUUGGAAAUGAGCAAAGAAAAAUCACAUAAUGAACCUCUGCAUGAUAUGACAACAAAUUUUACUCAGAAAGGCCAAGGUUAUAAUAGAUAUGGAUAUAAUCAGAAAAAUGUAGGUGCUGGAAAUUUUGGUGUUUAUGAUAACAAUCAGAACAUGAGUACUGGUCCUGGAAAAGAUGUUGUGUGUCAAAUCUAUUACAUUCCAGGCCAUGGAGCUUAUAAGUGUAAACACAGAUUCAAUCAGGGGUUUAUUCCUAGAAAUAAAGGUUUUGGUGGUUUCAGGCUAAGAACUGGAGGUCAGAAUUAUAGAGGAUUCCCUGGAAAUAAUCAGAAUUAUUUUGGUAGAGGUUCUGGAUACAAUAGUUCUGGUUUUGGAUCUGGAUUCAGACCCAACUUUCCUAGGCAAGCUGGACCUACUGGACCUUUCUUUGGUUAUGUUGCCUAUCAGAAUCCAGGAUUCAUGAAUUCUCAAGGUGCCUUUGAUUUUCCAAGUGCAAAUGGUGACUAUAAUGGUGUUCCAACAGCAAACAUGUAUGCUGGAAAUUAUGGCAUUCCUCAUAAUGUUCCUCCUUUUGCACAAUUGGCAAACUAUAGCAGUGUAGCUGAUCCAGCCUGGUACCUUGACUCUGGAGCAACAAAUCACAUUGCUCAAGAUGCAGGUAUACUUUCUAAGUACUCAACUUACCAUGGCCUUGAAAAACUACAUGUAGGAAAUGGUAUGGGGCUGCCUAUUCAUAAUGUUGGAUUUGUUACUGUUAAAACCUUGACUACAACACCUAUUUACCUAAAUCAUAUUCUGCAUGUCCUUACAAUUACUAAAAACCUUAUCAGUAUUUCCAAAUUGCUUGCUGAUAACAAUGUGUUUAUUGAGUUUUACAACCAUAUUUGUUUUGUUAAGGAUAAGAAUUCAAGAAUCACAUUGCUCAAGGGGAUUGCUAGAGGAGGUCUUUAUCAAGUUUCAAGCUUAAAUGCAGUCUGUGAUAACUCCAGUUCUAUGUUUCCAGUGUCAACCUCAUCUGAGUCUGUUUUUAAUUCAAUAAGUACAUUGCCAGCAGCUCCAGUGUCUAUGUUUACUCAACUGAGUUCAUUUGAUACUAAGUUUCAUCCUUGUAUGCUUGUAAAUAAUCCUCAAAUCAAUAAGAAUGUCCCUAUGGCUCAUUUUGCUUCAUAUAAUAAGCCUAUUGAUUAUAGUUUACUGCACAAAAGAAUGGGUCAUCCAACUACUCAUGCUUUAAAACAGAUCAUGAAAUGCCUGCACUCAAAUUUUAUUCUUCCCAAAGAUUUAAAAUCACAGUUCUGUGAUGUCUGUCAACUAGGCAAGAGUCAUAUGCAGCAUUUUCCCUCCAUAGAAACCUCAACCACUCUGCCCCUUGAAUUACUACAUGCUGACCUUUGGGGACCAGCUCCCAUUACUUCUUCACAAGGUUACACCUACUAUCUAUCCAUCCUAGAUGACUACACCCGAUACACUUGGAUUUUUCCUCUCACUGCAAAGUCCAAAACCUUGUCAACCUUUAUUGAAUUCAAAAACAUGAUUGAAAACUGCCUGAACUUGAAAAUUAAAUGUUUACAAACUUAUUGGGGUGGUGAAUUCAGGCCUUUUGUGUCCUAUCUUUCUGACCAAGGUAUACAAUUUACACAUCCAUGUCCUUAUAUCCACCAUUAAAAUGGAAGAAUAGAGAGAAAACAUAGACAUAUUGUUGAAACAGGUCUUACACUUCUUGCUCAAGCUCACUUGCCACUCAAAUUCUGGUGGAAUGCAUUCCAUACAGCCACAUAUCUUAUUAAUAGACUUCCUACACCUGUUCUCAACAAUCAAUCACCAUUUGAGAAACUUUUUCAUAAAUCACCAGAUUAUAAAUUCAUGAAAGUCUUUGGUUGCUCUUACUACCCUUAUCUUAGACCUUACAAUCAUCAUAAACUCCAGUUUAGAAGUGGAAAAUGAGUCUUUCUUGGCUAUAGCUCCCUUCACAAAGGCUAUAGUGUCUUCAUCCUUCUGGCAUGGUGUAUAUCAGUAAUCAUGUCAUUUUUUAUGAGUCAUCUUUUCCCUUCAAGUUAGCUGACAAUUUUUCCACAAAAUUAAAUUCUAAUUCUUUACAAGAGUCUAUUUCUUCAAAUCCUUUUGUCUCUUUCACCUUAUCACAGACUGCUGCACAACUUGAUAGAUCAUUCUCUCAAUCUGCACCUUCAGCAACUGAUUUGCCUUCCAACUCAAAUUUAUCCAGCCCUGAAAAUCACCCUUUGUCUCAUACUCCUAGUCCUACACAUCAGCAUUCACCUUCUCAACCUCUUCAUCACCUAUCUCCAUCUUCUCAAUCCACUGAUGGACAUCCUAUGAUUACUCGAUCCAAAAUGGGGAUAUUCAAACAAAAAAGGCCUAUCUAGUUGAAUGUGAUCCUAAACCAACAGAACCACUCACAGUUUCAGCUGCCCUCAAUGAUCCAAAGUGGCUUCAAGCAAUGAGAGAAGAAUAUCAAGCCUUAGUUAAUAAUCAAACCUGGACACUUGUUCAGCCUAUAUAUCCUGUCAAAGUUGUAGGAAACAAGUGGGUGUUCAGAAUUAAACACAAUGCAGAUGGUAGUAUUUCAAGGUACAAAGCCAGAUUUGUAGUAAAGGGUUUCCAUCAAACUCAAGGCAUUGAUUAUAAUGAAACCUUUAGUCCAGUGGUGAAGGCUUCUACAGUUAAACUUGUCCUGAGCUUGGUUGUUCUUAAUCACUAAUCACUGAGACAAGUUGACAUUAAUAAUGCUUUUCUUAAUGGAUAUCUUACUGAAGAAGUAUAUAUGUAGCAACCCAAAGGCUUUGUGGAUUAAUCCAAACCUGCACACAUCUGUAAACUUCGAAAGGCAUUAUAUGGUCUUAAAUAAGCUCCUAGAGCUUGGUUUGAUAGAUUAAAAACAGUGUUAACUCAACAAUAGGGCUUCAAGAAUUCCAAGUCUGAUAAUUCUCUAUUUUCUCAGAGGGUUCAAGGUCAUUUGUUGCUGGUAUUAGUCUAUGUAGAUGAUAUUAUUGUAACAGGUUCAGACUCUGCACAAAUUCAGCAAGUUUUUACUAAUCAACAGACUACAUUUGCUCUAAAAGACCUUGGAGAACUGCAUUUUUUUCUUGGUAUUCAAGUCACCAAAACUGAUACAGGCUUGUAUCUCUCUCAGUCAAAGUAUAUAGCUGAUCUACUUAACAAGGUUAAGAUGAAAGGUUGUACUCCCUGCUCAACUCCAAUGGCUGCAAAUGUUCCAUUUACCAAAACUGACAGUGAACCUUUUCCUGAUGCAACUUUGUAUAGAAGCACAAUUGGAGCUCUUCAGUAUGCUACCCUGACCAGACCUGAGAUAACAUUUCCAGUUAAUAAACUCAACCAAUUUGUAGCUGCCCCAACCAUUAAUCAUUGGCAAGCAUGCAAAAGGAUUCUUAGAUAUCUAAAGGGUACAAUGCAUAUGGGGUUACAGUAUUCUCAUCAAGGUCCCUUGAACAUAGACUGUUUCAGUGAUGCAGACUGGGCAGCUGACAGGGAUGACAGAAAAUCAAUUGCUGGGUACUGUGUUUACUUUGGCCCCAAUCUGAUUUCUUGGUGUUCAAAGAAACAAGGAGUAGUGUCCAGGUCCAGCACUGAGUCAAAAUAUCGAGCUCUAGCAAUGGCUGAAUAUGAAGUUUUGUGGCUUAAGUCCUUGUUGACUGAAAUUGGUAUUUCUCGUCUCUACUCCUGUCAUUUGGUGUGAUAACCAAAGUGCAGCUGCUUUAGCAAGUAAUCCUAAAUUCCACUCCCGAACUAAACACAUUGAGCUUGAUGUUCAUUUCUUGCGAGAAAAGAUUGCUAAUCAAAGCUUCCAAGUUAGCUAUGUUCCUAGUUCUCAUAACUCAGCUGAUAUCCUUACUAAAGCUUUAGCUUAUCAUCCUUUUCAUUAUCUGAAAGACAAGCUCACCCUCACUUCACCAGGCUGAGCUUGAGGGGGGAUGUUAAGUAUAGCUGAAGCUGCUGCUGAGCUGGCUGGUUGGUGACAUGUAUAAGCUGAAGCUGCUGAGCUGGAUUGGGUUGUUGUUCACACUAACUAAGCUGUAACGGAUUAUCCAGCUAGCUGGAUGUGAUUGGAAGUCUAAUUAGUUUGUUAAUAUAGCAAACGUUGAGCUCUAUUUUGGUUGUUAGUUUUGAGUGUAACUAUAAAUACUGGCUAACACGUUUUCAGUGUUAAGCUUUAGUUUUAAUCAAUAAGAAUCUACUAUGAUAAAGUUUCUUUUUUAAUUUUCUUUCACUUUCUUACUUGCCAAACAUCCUAUUAAUUCUAAUAACAUUGAUGUUGUAAUUUUAAUCAUGGUAUUAUAGAAUUUUCUAUAUCCAAAACAUUUGUCCUUUGUGCCCUUUAAUCAGUUAAUUGUUCAAAUUUAUUUUUCUUUUGAAAUUAUUAAAAAAAAUUAAUAAUUUUUUAUAAUUAUAUUUUAAAGUGGGAUGCAUUUAAUUUAAAGGUGAAAAUGUCACUACCUAUUUUUUGUAAUGUACUUUUUAUUUAAUUAGAAACUAUUGUUCUUGUGUUUAGAGUGUGUAUCGUUACUAUCUAUGGAGAAUAUCCAUUUUAAAAUUCAGUAACCAUUCUUUCAAUUCAUUAUCUCCUUGGCUGUAUCAUUACUCCUCGUAUAACAAUAAAUAUGCAAAUAUUGAUAAGUAGAUAUAUAAGAUAAUGAAAUAAUAAAAUCAAUUGAAUAAUAAUUUUUGACAAUUUUAUGGCCAAUGUGCUAAUUUAGUAAUUUAAUAGAUUAAUAACAUCAUAUAUUAUAAAAAAAUCUUAUUUUUUUUAUAGGACUUAAUUCCCAUAUAAAUUAAUAAUUAACUGACUUGCAGCUAAAUUAAUCUGAUAUGUACGUAGGCAGCUUUUGUGAAAUGUGGUUUUACUGUUGUCUUUCCUUGAAAUUGUUGUAGACUUGAUUCCAUGUCCAAUUUCACUAGCGUUUUAAAUACAUCUGUGCGAGAUAGGCUCAAUAGCAGAAAGAACUACCAAAUAUCUAAUCUCUUAUUUUCAUUAAUAAAUAACUAAAUAAACAUGAGACUCUAGUAUAGUUGAAGUGGCUAAAUAAGCGGCGAGCAUCUUAUGCUUAGUUCGUAUAUAUAAGUACUGGUGGAUUAGUAGUAGCAAAUGCAAGCAGCUCUUGGUCACGUUCAAAGAAGGCUAUGUCUUUGGGGCUCAGGGUCACCAAUGCAAUCAUUUGUGUCCAUUAUAAUAAUCAAGCUUGACAGCUCAUAAUUUGGAAAAGUCAGGUGCACUGGCUUUCCCCAUCCAAAAUCUGCUACUUCAUAAUAUGGGAAGUUAACAAUGCGGGAUAAAGUGUAGAAAUCUAUCUCGUCUUUUUCAAAUUUGUCUUUUAUUGACUGCGGAGUAUCGAAUAUGCUCUUGUUUUCUAGCAAAGUUUUGAGACCGUUUCGUCUAAAUUCUGCCUUUGCUUUCCUUAGCGAACAAACCAAGUCCAGUAAUGUUUCAAUUUCCUUUUCACUCGCUUGCGCCGUCAGAUACGCGGGAGAGUUGCCCACAGAGUCGUCAGGCAAGGGCAGCUCUGGCGCCGUACGCACGUUCAUCGCGUGUACCGACAAAGAAGGUCUUGAAUACCCAAGGUUUGAUCUUGACGCCGCCCUUGCACACUUCCCAAUUAGUGCGGUUGUCUAGGCACGCUUGGACUAGCAACUUUAGCCUUGAAUUCAUCAAUUUUCUUUGCAUCAAAUACAAACCAGUUGGCUUUAACCGGUGAAAUAUGUAAAGGAAUGGGCAGGAAGGAUUCACUUGCUGUAAAAAUCGUCGAAGCAACAAAUCUAGGAAUCACUUAUUAUUGCUCCGGUUCGAUGACUGAUUAUCUGCACAAGCUGUGGUGGUCCAGCUGUUAACCAAUAUGCCUAACGAGACUGAAAAUCCCGUAAUAAAUUCUGAUCAGGCUUUCGUAGGUAUUCAAACAAAAAGCCGAUCGCAAGAGCUUCAACACACUCAGCCCCUUCGUCCUUGCAUUCAAUUGAGAAAUCGUCUUUGACUCUCCCAGCAAAUGGGUAGAAUUUUGUGAGAGUUUUUGGUAGGAAUGACUUGAGACGUUAUUGCGAAAUUUGGUCAGCUUUCACAUUAUCGUCUGCUUUGUGCAGAAAAAUGGUGCUCACGGAUAUGGGAAAAUUGAUUUGGUCUAUGAGGGAGAGUCUAAAAUUUCUCAGGUGUGGAGGAGUUUGGUAAGCUGGUUUGAUGGUUUCCCUUGCCAGUACUUGCACUUCCAGUGCGUGUCCAUUUUGGGCAACCAUAAAUAGAAUUCUUGUCAGUAGUCCCUGUCCAAUAUUAAAACGUCAAAAGUUAUGUACAUAUACACAUACGACGAUAACCACGAAAAAUUCUAUCACUAGUAUUGAUUGCUUACUUGCAAAUCAAUGCCUGCCUUGUUGCUCUAGAUGGAAGCUCCUUGCUAACUAGCGCAAACCCUUAUAUAAUAAAAUUUGAUAGCCAAAUUUGGCUCCAUUAGUUUGAAUCCCUGGUUUAUCCGUGCAUCAACAGUUCAAUGGGAACUUGCACACUAUAAUCACAUGCAUUGCAUUUUAUAUUUUAUGACUACGAAUCCUCACGAUUGAAAGAGACAUUUAUCUGCACAUUUGUUGGAGUUUUAUUGGUAUUUCAAAAUACUAAUAUCCCACAUUAAAGGGAAGUGAGAGCAAUCACUUUUAUAUUUGAUUUGAAAUUAGUUAUAUAUUUGAUUUAAUUACAAAUUAGAGUUAAGUCAAAUCUAGAUGUGAUUUGGAUUAUUUAAUUUGAAUUUGUUAAGGCAGCACAUUGUUAAGAGUAUACAGAGGCAAAGAGAAGAAAGCUUAAAUUGAAACUGAAACCAAUCAGCAAUGCCAAAACAACAAAGAUCGUUAAAGAGAGUGACAGCUUCAGCAUAAGUUGUUCAGAUUGUUGUUAACACACAAUGUAUGGUAACCAAAUUGUAGCAAGCUUAGUGAUUAACAAAUAUAGAUUAAUUACAAAUUGUUAUAGUUGAUAAUGUGUAUAAAUAUGAUGAUGUACCCAUUUAGUUGUGAAUGAAAGUUCCAGACUGAAGAAAUACAUUUUCUUUGAGAUUUUCUCUCAAACCAAUCACUCUUUCUUAAUCUCUUUCAUGCUGCUAGAGCCAUAAUGGCCAGGUCAAGCACUACAAUUGUAAAUCAGCCAAUCACCCUUCAAAAACAAUUUUUACAAACAUCAUUCACUUUUGCUACUACUGUGAAGCUUGAUCGGUCUAACUACUUGCUUUGGCACAAACAGGUUUUAAGUUCAGUUAUAGGGAGUCAGCUUGAAGGAUUCAUCUCAGAAACUCUAAUCAUUUCAGAUCAGUACCUCUCUAACUCAACAAUUGAUGGAUCUAUUGAAAAGGUUAAAUAUUAAUUCAGCUUGUCAAUUGGUGAGCACAAGAUCAGACUCUUCUUGGUUGAUAAUAUUAUCCACGAUCAAUGAAGGUACGUUGACUGUCCGUAGUUAUGAUAUACUUCUUUUGAUUUCUAAAGAUCUAUUGAAAAAUAAUUUGGAGUUCAACCUGAGGCUAAGGUGAUGGAACUUCAAUAUGAAACAAACAUUUUAAGAAAGGAAUCAAUGUCUACUAAAGAAUAUUAUGUAAAGAUGAAACCCUUGUUAGUAGACUUGCCUAUGUUUAUGACAAUAUAAUUGACAAAGAUCUGUUGAUGAGAAUUUCGAAUGGCUUAGGGCCUAGUUAUUUGGAUCUGAUUUCAAUUAUUACUGCUAACAAAAUGAACUAUGAUGAUGCAUAUGCUUUAUUAUUGACACGCGAAACUAGAUUUGAACAAAAUCAGAAUGCUAAGGCCAUGUUCAAUGCUAAUUAUAGCAUGAUAAAUGCCAAUCACUCAUAUAUGAGAAAGACUCUUAGAAGAGGUCCAUAUGGUGGUGGUACUGGCAUGCUCUUUUCUACUUAUACUAUAGGUUUUCCAGCUAGUAGUAGUAAUUUUGGUGUAUAUUACAGAGGUCAAGCUAUGCAAAUUUAUAAGUGAAACACUUUUCAUCCUCCUACUAUAAUUCCUGCCAUACAUUCUGGUGACUCUGAUGAAUCAGUUCAUAUUUGUCAGAUAUACCAUAAGUAAGGGCAUACUACCGAUACUUGUUGGCAUAAGUAUAGUGAUUCUUAUCUGGUCUCCACCAAAACAUUUUGGUAGAGGAAAGAUGAUAGGGUCAAGAACUACUUAUAUGGCUAGCUUUGAGCCAUACUAUGACUAUGCACCAUCCUUUGAAGAGCAUUAUGCCAUUCCUUACUCAAACUAUCAGCUAGAGAUGGCCAAUAGGUCGGGCGGCAUGUAGCAUUCCACGAGCACAGCAUGUGUCCAUACAUCAUGGCAUGGUACGAACACAUUUUGGUAGGGCAUGCGACAUUGCAUGGCAUGCACGAAGGCUAGAUUAGGCUGAGAAUUUUAGGCAUGUGACCCUUAAAAGCACAACAUGAUUAGAGAUGAAGUAUUUCAUGACAUGUGAAUAAGGUCGGUAAUAAGUAAGUUUCACUUUUUAAUCAAAGCUAACAUAAGUUUUUUAAAUUCACUUAAUUCUUAGUUUAAAAAAAUGAUCUGGUUGUUUUAUUUUUAUAAUUUAUUAAAUGAAUAAAUGAUACCAUGAUUUUAAUAAACAAAAUUAUAAAUAUUAUGAUUUUAUAAAACUUAUGUAUUACCGUUAUUAUGUACUGUGAUCUAUGACUUUAUGUUAGUUUAAGUUAAUAAUUAAAUUAACCCUUUAAAAAAAUUUCUUAUUAUUGUUGUUGUUGUUAUUAUGUUUCAAAAAAGAAUUCCAAUACCAUAGAGUCUAACUUAGUAGUUAAUAUUACAUUCUCUUACUAUUAUUAGUUUAUUAUUAUUAAAUAUGGACUUAACUUUUCAACUUUUAAUUCUACUGAAUUUGAUUAUAGGCAUGCAUACCCAAAAAAUGUACGCCAACAGUUUGGCAUGCCCACUUAAAAAAAUUAAAAAAAGAAAAAUGCUUGUCAUGUUUUUUUUUUCUUAGGCACAGCACGACAUGUGCGGGCACAUGACGUGUGUCAGGUUUAGCCUAAGCUAAAAGAAUUAGGCACGACAGGAAGCAUAUCUUGAGCACAAAACAGCACAAUCACAAGCAUGCAUGGGUCUUCCUUUGUUGGUAGGCACGGUUUGUUGGCCAUCGCUACUAUCAAUCAAUGCACUUAUGCCUAAAGCCUUUGUUGCAAAUUUUGAAAGAUUUGUUGAUGAAGGAUGGUACCUUAAUAGUGGUACUACACAUCACUUAACUAACAAUAUGACCAAUAUGCAUGUCCAGGGAGACUUCAAUGGCUUAGACCAGCUUAUCAUUGGCAAUGGACAAGUUUUGCCUAUAACUCAUAUCAAUGAUGCUUGCUUUAACAACAAAGGUUCAAAUGUUGCAUAUAACCACAAACAUAUAGCACUUAAAGAGAUUCUAUCAGUGCUUUACUACAAAUAAUCUGUUAAGCAUAUCGAAUUUAACAACCGAUAAUAACCUCUUUAUUGAACUUGUUGGCAAUGUCUAUUACGUGAAAGAUUCUCUGACAGGGCAAGCACUUCUGCAGGGCCUCGCUUAGAAAGGAUUGUAUAAGCUGCUCUUAAUGUCGCUUCAGUUUUUCAAGUCCUCGCCCUUAUCUUUCUUAGGUCAAACAACUUUCAAUAAACCUUUGUCUAUGUUGUCCCCACAUGACCUUAAUUAUCAUGAAAAAAUAAUGAUUCAAGUUCUAAAAUUUGUUAUCAACCUGCUGUUUUCUUUGUAAUGCAUUAGUCAAUAAAAUUACUCUUUUUCAUAGACGUUUUGGUCAUCCUCAUCAUCAGAUAUUAUUGCAUUUACUUAAGAAAUAUAAAUCUAUUAAUCUCUCAAGUAAUUCAACAAAGUAGGCACUUUAACAUGUUUAUGAAACAUGUCAGAUGGGUAAAGUUCAUGGGUUACACUUUUCUGUUAUAGAAAUCAAAACUUCUAAGGUUCUUGAACUCAUUUAUAUAGAUUUGUGGGGUCCUUCACUUGUUUUUUAUAGAGAUGGCUAUACCUAGAUAUAACCUUUGUUAAUGAUUUUAAUAGAUACAUUUAGACCUAUCCUUUAAAACUAAAAUCAAAGGUUUUAGAGGUCUUCAACUUGUUCAAAUUCUAGGUUGAGAAUCCAUUCAACAGUACCAUCAAAAUACUACAAUCUGACUAAGGGGUAGAAUAUAGAUCAUUUACUCAAUUUUUAAACCAACCCGGAGCUACUUUUAGACACUCUUGUCCUUAUACACAUCACCAAAAUAGGUUAGUUGAAAAGAAACACAAGCACAUUUUUAAACUAGGUCUCACCUUGUUAGCUCAAUCUAAGUUAUCCUUUAAAGUUUGGUGGGAUGCCUUCCAUACAAUAGUUUAUCAUAUCAAUAGGUUACCAUCUGUAGUUCUAGAAUUUCUUACACAAUAUGAAAAGGUAUUCAACUAUAAACCUGAUUAUGAUAUCCUAAAAUGUUUUGGUUGCACUUGUUUUCUUUACUUAAGAGAUUGUAAUAUGUAUAAGUUUGAUUAUCAUUCUAGUAAAUUUAUUUUCAUUGGCUAUCGUCUUUCCCAUAAAAUAUGCAAGUGUCUACAUUCUUCAAGACAAUAUAUAUAGUCAGACAUGUCAUCUUUGAUGAAUCCUCAUUUCCUUGCUCUAUAGACUCUGUCUUUACUUCAAAAGAGCCUAAUCCUUGUUCAAAUGAGUCCUUCACUCCUCAACAAGUCUAUCAUCCAUCCACAUUCCCUCCACUUCCAAUCUCUAUUGAUAACAGCUCAAGUAAUCCUAACUUUGUAAGUUCUACAAGCAGCAAUCUUCAUCACUCAAAAAAUCCUACUCAAGAUAAUAUUUCCUACUCAUCACCAUAAACAAUUGUACUAUACAUUACAAUAUCUUUCAAUAUGAUUUACCACAAAAUAAGUCUGAUUCUCAUACAACUAUCUCAUCAAAUAUAUCAUAAUCCACUACUCAACCAAAUAAUCAUCAUAGGACUAUCAGAAGUAAAGGUGGUAUUUUUAAACCUAAGUUGUGUGCUACAUUACUUGUUCAUAAAGAACUAGAUUCUGUGUAUGAAGCCUUGCAAGAUCCUAGAUGGUUUGAAGCUAUGAAUGAGGAAUCUAAUGCCUUAAUCAAGAAUGGUAUAUGGUCUUUAAUCAUAAGAACUUCUUAUCAUAAAUAAUUGUUAAUAAAUGGAUGUAUAGAGUAAAGUAUAAUACUGAUGAGAGUCUAGCUAAAUAAAUAGCUAGGUUAGUAGCUAAGGAUUUCAGCAAAUUGCUGGGGAUAAUUAUUUUGAAAUAUUCAACCUUGUGGUAAAACCCACUACUCUUCGAGUGAUAUUAAGUUUAGCAGCUAUGAAUCAGUGGAAAAUAAUGCAAAUUGAUGUGAACAAUGUUUUCUUAAUGCAGAUUUGACAGAGGAAGUCUUCAUAAAUUAACUAGAAGGCUUUAUUGAUCGUAAAACUAGAAUUUUUGUGUAAACUUUAUAAAUCUCUAUACAAUUUUAAACAAGCUUCAAAAGCUUAGUAUGAGAAGCUGAAAGGAUGUCUAUUAUAAUGGGGUUUUAGAAACUCAAGAUCUGAUUCUUUUCUAUUCCUAAAGAGAACCAAAUCAUCUAUGAUUGUGAUGCUCAUCUAUGUUGAGUAUCAUAGAUUUAACAGAGGACCAAUUUAUUAGUGCUUAUAAACCAGAUUUUGUGUGUAGACUUUAAAAAUCUCUCUAUGGUCUUAAACAAGCUCCAAGAACUAGUAUGAGUAGAUGAAAGGAUGUCUAUCGCAAUGGGGUUUUAUAAACUCAAGAUCUAUUCUCUAUUCACAAAGAGCUCUAGAUCAUGAUACUCAUCUAUGCUAAUGAUAUCUUAAUUAUUUUCCAAAUAACACUAAGUUAGAAAGCUUUAUUACCAAGUUCAGCAUAAUGUUUGCAUCAAAAGAUCUUGGAACACUACUUUUUUUUUCUGUGAGUAGAAGUCUUAAUGAUACAGAUUAUGUUUAUCUCUUUCAUAGAAAAUGUAUAGGAGAUUUGUUAUCAAAAGUUCCGUUACUAGAGUACAAAGGCAUUGAUACACCUAUGAGUACAUGAUUGAAAUUGCAGAAGAAAGCUCAAGAAAAUCUUGGUCAUUAUGUUGAAGAUAAUCUUGGUCAUUAUGUUAAAGAUCCAACACAUUACAGAAGUAUUGUUAGAGGGAAACAAUACUUAAUAUUAACAAGACCUGAGAUUGCCAACAAACGAGGUCAAUAUUUAUCUGCACCUACACUUCAACAUCUCGUGGCAUAAAAAAGAUUUCUAAGGUAUUUGAAAGCCGCUCAAGAUUAUGACUCAAGUUUGUUAGAAAUGGAGAUAUGAAGCUUACAGGGUUUAUAGAUGUAGACUGGGCUUGUGACUUAGAUGACAGACAAUUUAUUGGUGCCUAUUGCAUCUAUCUAGGUGACAAUUUGAUAUCUUAGUCAUCAAAGAAGCAAUCAGUCAUUACUAGAUCAAGUAUUGAGAGUGAGCACAAAUCCUUAGAUUCAACAAAGUGUAGAGUUGAGUUGGUUAUAGUUUUUAUUUUUUGAAAUAGGAGUACAUUGUAUAGAGAAACCUACCAUUUGGUGUGAUAUCAUCAGCACAAUUGAACUAGCUAAAAACCCUAUUUAUCACUCAAGAACAAAGCACAUUGAGAUUAAUAUGCACUUUAUCAGAAAAUAUAGUAAUUGCAAGGGAGCUUAACAUCUACUAUAUACCAAGUCAGGAGCAAGUUGCUGAUAUUAUGACCAAACCUCAUUUCCAUCACUUCAACUCUCUGACAGCCAAACUUAAUGUUCUCCUCAAUCCCUUAAGUUUAAAGGGGGUUGUUGCACAUUGUUCGGAUUAUAUAAAGGCAAAGAGAAGCAAGCUUAAGCUAAAACUGAAAUAGGUCGGCAAUGCCAAAUCAUUAGAGUUCAUUAAGGAGAGUCAUAGCUCAGUUGACAACACAGCAUAAGUUGUUAAGAUAGCUGCUAACACACAAUGUGUGAAUAAUCGAAUUGUAGCUAGCUUAGUGAUAACAAAUAUAGAUUAGUUACAAAUUGUUAUAGUUGAUAGUGUGUGUAAAUAUGAAGAUGUACUCAUUCAGUUGUGAAUAAAAGUUCUAGAUUCAAGAAAUACAUUUUCUCUGAGAUUUUCUCUUAAACCAAACACUCUUUUCUUAAUCUCUUUGAGAAUUAAAUUAUGAAACACAUGGAUGACAAUUUAAAUUAAAUAAAGAAAAUAGGUGACUAAUUCAAAUUGAAUCAGGUAAGGAUUAUAGAGGGUUUUUCUGUAUAAAAGAGAUAUACAAAGCCUUCAAGGCAUCUUUAUUACCUCCCAUUCUAUCUCAUAUUUUAUUCAUCAAUUUUUCCUUUGCUAUUUUAAAUUGUUGUGCUUGGAGUGUGACCUCACAAUAGUGUCACUGUGUCCUAAUGGUCAACAUGCUUUAUUUGUGUCCUUUUUGAACUAGAAAAUUUUCUUAAAGGAGAAGAAAUUGGUCUUAACAACAAGUGCUUCAUGCAUGCCUUGAUGAAUUUAUGGUUGAUGCUGAGAAAACAAUUCUGUGAAUACUAUCAGAUGAAUGGUAACAAUGAUGUGAAUAGUACCAACAAUUACUAUUCAUGUUUUAGACUUAAAAGGAAGCAAUCUUGACUCAUAUUUCCAAUAACAUUAAUUAAACACGUGAAUAUAUAUGUACAAUUGAAAAUGGAAUCAACAGAGAUUUUCCCGAAAUCUAAAUAGUUCUAAAUUAAUAUGUCCGGAUAUUAUCUUCAUUUUUCUAUUUUGGACAUUGAUUUUAAGCAAGUCAUCAUAUAAAUAAGACAAGAUUUAACUAAAUUACAUAAAAUGACAAAUAUCAGUUUAACUAAAUUAAAAUAAUUUUACCUCUACAAAUCAUGAACCGUUUCAUCUUUAAAUCCUAGUAUUGGAAAUUCAUCAUUUCAAUUAUCAAACUAAAAAGGACAAUAUACUUCUGACUAAUUUACUUCCUGCAGUCCUUUCAUUUACAAAACGAAAUUGUGAAUCUUGGAGAUUGAUUCAAAAACAUAAUUAAGCUAAAUGUUUAUGAAAUAUUUGUUUCCAAAAGCUAAUAUGUUCCUUUUUCAAGGCUUCCUAAGUAGAGCUACUACCAGGGCUGGCAAAAUCCGGGUUGCUAAUAAAUCUAACAUAACAUUGUCAAAGAUUAACAAGCCGUAUCUCCUGCCGCUUGCUUCUGGGAACUUAUCAAUGGGAACUGCAAUGGUAAUUCGUAUAGAAAGUGCAAUCUUGAUAAGCAGCUGACAGCAAAAUCUUUUGCAAUAAUCUAAUAAAUCAUUUCAAAUCUUUUUAAUUUGCAAUCUUUUUUAAAUUCAUUAGUUGAUUUUUAAUCUUUUUUAAUUCAAGUCCUUUUAAUUUUUAAUCUUUUUUAAAUUCAUUAGUUGAUCCCACUUUUGCAGAGUUUUACUUUGGGAUUUAUGUCUGAAUUUCCACCACUUCUCUCAAUCCAAAUCUUGCGUUUUGUAUGUGGACGCGCUUAUUCCCUGCCCUAAGUGCCCCAGUUGCACGCUUUGUAACAUAAUUUAAUAAUUGCCCUCAAGAGUUUGACAGAGUGAUCUUUAGGUUUUAUCUUUUGUUAUUCACUCGAUUUCGAAUAUUCUUGGAAAGAUAGGAAUUAAAAAAUUAAUUUAAAUUUUGUUGAUCUCCUACCUUUAAUUAAAAAAAAAAGUUUACAAAACAUAAUAUUAAACCAAUCCAGAUUAAUAUUCUAAUUGAUUAUUGUUAAUCUUGGUUGGGGCUUCCCAGUCUCAGAUGGAAGUCACACACAUUCAUGGCUCCACUCUCUCUUGUGAUUCUGAUGGGAUUUACACUUCAAUUACCUUUUGCAUGCACAUGCAGGUAUAUACACAAUUUAUUCAUCUUUCAAAUAAUUAUUAAUUAGCUCCCAUGUCAUAAUUUUUUCUUUCUCUUUCACCCUUUUUUUUUUAUGAAGUGGUUUAAUUUUGGUUCACACAUACAGCCAUAGGUGCUUGAUAGACCUUUCGUAAUUACGAAACCAUUAAUAAAUAGUAAUAAUUUCCGAGUACGUAGUUGUAGCUUUUAUUAAUUCUCUGUCCGUAUACUUAAUAAAUAAUAUCUACCUUCAAUAUUUCAAUGAAAAAUAUUGGAGUCAAAUCAGCAAAGACUUUAUAUUGGGAGUAAAAAAACUGAUACAAUCCCAAAAACCUGAAAAACAAUAUUCGAAUCUCAUUUCUGUGAAUUUAGGGGAAAAAAAGGAAUAUAAACUCAUAUAAUUACUUUUCUGUGUAAGAAGCAACUGAUCAUACUAACCCAAGUGUAUGAACAGAUUAAAUGGUUGUUUGCAAUGAGCUUCUUCUCGAAAACUUCCAAAACGCUUGGAGCUAUAGCAGCUGUAUUAUCAUCCUCCGGUUGUAAUGCAUAGCCAUCUUGUAGCGCCGAAGAAACGAGCUGUUUGUUCAAUAGUUUCUGACGAUUUGUACUGCUAAUAAUACCUUCACUGUGUGUAUUUUUUUUUAUUUGUUAAAUGAAAUGAUCUUUGAGAGGAGCAUUUGAAUGAGGCCUUUUUGCUCGGACUUAUGUUUACGAUGGCGCCGUGUCUUUUUGUCAAUGGCGAUGCAAUUGUUUUAAAGCAGCCUGAGGAUUGAUGGCCAGCAAAGAUAUUAACAAGUAUCUUGACGCUAAGAUUUGAUUCGAUCCAUUAAGUGGUUGUUCUCACUAGAUCUAGGUCAAAUCUGAUUAAAAUAAAUAAAAUUUAUAUUUUAGGGAAAUAAUGGGCUAAGCUUGGUUUAGGUAUGUUUUUCUGACAUUUGGGGCAAGAGAUAUAGCUAAUGUGAUCUGGGAGGUGAACUGCAAUUAUUUAGGAGGUGAACUGAUGAGGUGAUUCGGGAGGUGAAUUGAGUGUUUUGAAUUUAGAAUAACAUGGAGAGCUCAACAGAGCUCAUGAGAGUUAAUUUAGAGAGUCCACAUAGAAAGCUCAGGAAAUAGCUCUAGCGAACUUGAGGAGCUCACAUGUUUUCAUUUUAGAGGCAG
rnacentral:lncRNA from 1 species